CAGGACAAGCUGCCGCCUGCUGCUCACUCUGCCCUGACGGAGUCUGGCUGACUCACAAUUAGACAAUAAAUGUGUACCGUAUUCUUCUUCAUGGAAAAGUAAGGCAUCCCCUGAAAAUAAGACCUAGCGCAUUUUGGGGAGCAAAAAUUAAAAUAAGACACUGUCUUAUUUUCAGGAAAACAGGGUAAUAGUGGUUAGGUGGUUUUCUGCCAGGGAUUCUUCAUAGUUUUAGCUGUGAUUCUUCCAUUGCAAGGGAUGGGACUAGAUGGCACUUGGGGUCCCUUCCAAUACUACAGUUCUGUGAUUCUAAUAUCUGGAUGAAGAGGAUGAAGAGUUUGGAUUUGAUAUCCUGCUUUAUCACUGCCCGAAGGAGUCUCAAAGCGGCUAACAUUCUCCUUUCCCUUCCUCCCCCACAACAAACACUCUGUGAGGUGAGUGGGGCUGAGAGACUUCAGAGAAGUGUGACUGGCCCAAGGUCACCCAGCAGCUGCAUGUGGAGGAGUGGGGACGCGAACCCGAUUCACCAGAUUACGAGUCCACCGCUCUUAACCACUACACCACACUGGCUCUCUGUUCCCCAUCCUUGUCCUAGCUGGCCAUAUCCUCUGAAAUUGUAAUGAGUUUCACCUAGCCAGGCAGGAAGUGCUUUUGUUCCGAGUUCCAGGUCCUCACUGGUCAAUGAUGCCUCCUUCUCCUCGUCGCCUCUCGGCCCCCGCAGUGGUGCUUGGGAGGGAUUCCCACCAAGUUCAACCUUCGCAAUAUAUCUGCAGGGUCAAGAGCUGUAAGCAGGGAUGGCGAUAAUCGCAUUAAUUAAAAAUCCAUUAUGGCACUUAGUAGCAAAUCGUUUGGCUGAUAUGAUUAAGGAAAGACAACAUGCCGUUAUGCCCUCUUUACAACGUGCAAACAUUUCAUGGCCUCAGCCGUAAAUGACAAUGCCUGCCCUGGGAUGAUGAAGUGUGGCCUUUGUGUAAUUUAUGGCAAUCAGCCCUGAGUUGUUGUUUUUCAAAGGAGAAAACAGAGUGUGCAGGGGGAAAGAAAAGGAUGUUUUAAGACCAUCUUAUCCCCAAUCAUGGGGAUGCGGGUGGUGCUGUGGGUUAAACCACAGAGCCUAGGACUUGCCGAUUAGAAGGUCAGUGGUUCGAAUCCCCACGACUGGGUGAGCUCCCAUUGCUCGGUCCCUGCUCCUGCCAACCUAGCAGUUCGAAAGCACGUCAAAGUGCAAGUAGAUAAAUAGGUACCACUCCGGCGGGAAGGUAAACGGCAUCUCCUUGCACUGCUCUGGUUCACCAGAAGCGGCUUAGUCAUGUUGGCCACAUGACCCGGAAGCUGUACGUCGGCUCCCUCAGCCAAUAAAGCGAGAUGAGCGCCGCUACCCCAGAGUCGGCCACAACUGGACCUAAUGGUCAGGGGUCCCUUUACCUUUACUAUCCCCAAUCAUAUUUCUAUGGAGAAAGAGCUGAGGUUCAAGACCUUUUCCAACCAAAGGUCCUCAUUCCCUUAUGGGGAAUCACCUGUCGGACCCUCAAGCUUCCCUGAAAACUAGGCUUCUACAGACUUCCUAUCCCCAGAAUUCAGCUGCUGAAUUGACUCCUAGCACACAACUUGUCUGAGUUGUUGCUUUCACUAAGCAUUGAAAUUGCAUGUUCCUUGCUCCACUAUUUAACUUGCCUUGAUGCUUCGUUAGCUGGGGCUCCAUAGAUUGGGUGGAACAAGGUCCCCUAAAUUUGUAUGCUUGGCUAGUUUCUCCCAGCUGCUAUUGCAGGCAACGAGGCCACAGGUUGUGGCUCAACUUUUUGAGAAUAAGAAAAUUCCUUCCUUCUGAUGGAUGGAUGGGAUGGGGAAAGAGUGUCGCUUAAGUGGCUAGUGGGCAAUGGAAAGUGAGACAACUGGGAAUUAGCUCCUUGAGUAAGAUGUCUUUCUCCCUGAAAGAGAUUCCUAGUUGCUAGAACUGGGAAUUAGGUAGAUGACCUGCUCUGUAUGGGGUUUUAGGAACAAGUGUGUGGUCUGGGGUAGGAAUGUCAGAGAACUCCAGUGGGAACAGAAAUUGCUGGUGUUUGCUUAUUCAUUCCAUGUACAGAACAGAAAUCAAUCCAGCAACAUAUAAUUGGUAUACACUGUUCUUGUUUCGGACUUCAAACAAUAUAUGUUUUGUCCUUUUAUUUACACUGUGUUUUCUUUGCAUUGAAAUAAAUGCUGUGGGGUGUAUUUGCAGCACCAACGUGAUCUCUCUGGGGUGCAAGCCCGGACGGUGCGUCUGGAGGUCCUGGGCUGUCCAGAUAACAAGACCCACCCCCCAACCUCACUGAGGCGGUCCAGAGGAAAACAGUGCAAUAUGUUUGGCACCAUCUUGGCUGGAGGAGUUGCCAGAAGGAGGCAUACAAAAUGCCAUCCAAACGCCUUGGGGACUCUGUUAAGUUGUGGGCGAACAUAUCAGACGACACAGCGAUUCUUCCAAAGCAGCUCUUUAUUUGUAAGCUGGAACAGAACUGCCUGAGGAGCUCAGUCAGCCUGCUUAUAUAGAGCUCCAGAACAAUGUAACUGUUGCCAUUUUCUAAAACUAUCCAAUCACUGAACGUCACUUUCGAUCCUUCAUUUGCAUAACUAUCUACAGUAUCCCCCUGCUGGCCCAGGGUGAGAACUUCAGUACAUAACAGACUCCACUCUGAAUUUGUGUAGGGUUUACUCCUUAGUGCCACACCCCAUAGUCCCCUUUGACUAGACUUAACCAUCCAGGGGUCCUUUACCUUACCUACCUGCAUUCUUGCAGUGCAAAUAACUUAAUUUUUACGGUUUUCAGAGUUCUGCCAUUUAUGCUGGCCACAUGACCCGGAAGCUGUACGCCGGUUCCCUUGGCCAAUAAAGCGAGAUGAGCGCCGCAACCCCAGAGUCGGUCACAACUGGACCUAAUGGUCCAGGGUCCCUUUACCUUUACCUAAGACUACAAAAUGCAUGAUGCAUUGAAACAGGUGCUCAAAACCCUGUUCUGGGAGCACAGUCUGUUAACAAGAACUUCUGCUGGUACCCUUUGCAACUGUAAGACCACAAACCCCACAACAGAUUGUGGCUUUGAGCAAAAUACCCAACCCAUAUGAAGACUGUACGAUCAUGCAGUCUUGAAACUACAAGACCCAUGGUGCAGCGUUCACUGCAAGGGAAAUAAAUGUAUGCAGAACAUAUACAAGGCCUAUAACUGAAUCAAAUAAAGAGUAAGACAGCAUGCCAAAAUACAAAACAUAAAUAGAUGUUUUGCUGGAAAUUGCCUUGGGCAGAGGAAAUGGAUGAUGAUGGACUUCAUCCUGGGAGAUUCGUGACAUCUUAAGUUAUCAUAUCCAUCUCAUGUUACAAGAAGUGGCCUGCAGUGUCUACUUCAGGAGCAAAACACACUCUGAUUCCCCUCAACAGGAAUCUAUGCUAAGUUACCCCCCACUGCUGCCAUCACUCUGACAGUUCCUCUUCGUUAUUUCUUUAUAUAUACAUAUUUCUCUUUUUCUGUUAGAAGUAAAUUGAAUAUGAAUUACAGAUGUCUGGUGUGUUUAAAUUGGAAGUGAAAUUUGUGUCCCAUUGCCAAGUCAGGUUAAAAAUGGAGCCGGCUGCCCAGGCAGCUCAUAGCACUUGGCUAAUUUAGUCCUGACUGUAAGUGGUUAUCAUAUUUUAUGGCAAUACAUUUUAUGGCUUGGAUUACUGAUAUUGAGUGCUACGCCUUUGAUGAAUUCAUUAUAUAUUUCUGAGAGCCUUUCAAAGCCCUCGCACAGCGAGCGAGGCAGAUACAUCAUGCUGCUUUUUAUUGCUAAAUUGAAAUUUUGCAAAAGGAAGAAAAAUGGAUAUCGAAAUAGAUUCCUGAGAGCCGUGCAAUGCUUAUGAAUUUUGAUGCCCUGGGAAAGUGGACUUUGGUCCCUGGAGAAGCCAAAGUUUGAAGUGUGCAGUGCAAGAGAGGCUGGUUCCCCUGCUGUUCUUUCAGACUAGCUUGUCAGAAAGGCCGACUGUAUCCAAGAUUAGUUAUUAUUAGGCUGAUCUCCCCCAAGUAGACACACUGAAAUCGAUGGACUUCAGUUUGGCACCAUCCAGAGUAUGUGCUGAGCAUGACAGCUGCUAGCUCCACAUGGGAUUCAAUCACAUAACAGCCAAAUUCAGGUUGUACAAUGGAAAUGUUUUGGUGCCCAACAGCUGCCACAAAGCUGCUUCCUCCAAAACUGAACUUUCAUAUAGAAAGCUCUGUUUCUUUUCUCUCUCCCUCCCCCCCACCCCAGUACAGUUAUACCUUGGAUUCUGAACGCCUUGGUACUUGGACGUUUUGGCUCCUAAAUGCCGCAAACCCAGAAGUGAAUGUUCCAUUUUGCGAACCUUCUUUGGAACCCAAACAUCUGAAAGGGUUACUGCAACUUCUGAUUGGCUGCAGGAGCUUCCUUCAGCCAAUCAGAAGUCACACUUUGGUUUCUGAAUGUUUUGGAAGUCGAAUGGAUUCUGUUUGACUUCCAAGGUACGACUGUACAGUGUUCUCUUUAGGAUGCUGUUAGCUUAGCAAUAAGAAUCACCGUAUUUACUUGAGUCUAAUGCGCCAUCAAAUCUAAUGCGUGCCUCAAUUUUCAGAACCUUCAAGCCAAAAAAGGUAUUUGCUGGCAAAUGUAAAUGUUGUGGGAAUGUUCUGGGGUGCAGGAGAGGAUAUAUUGACUAAUUAUAUCCUUAUCCAACUUGUGCUAACAAGUUCCCAAAAUAUCAGCAGAGUUUAUAAACAUUCCCCUUUAAGUACGCAACGGUAACGUGUGCACAGGUUCGCUAGAACCUCUAUAAUAAUUACCCUGGUAAUUUCCCCUUUGUUCCCUCUUAAAAUACAAGACACAACACAGUCUUUAUAAAAGUAUAAAAGAGUUUACUCACCUUCUGUUCACAAUAUGAUCCCAGAAGGCAGACAGGCUUAAAAAGGUAAUAUACAUUCAGAAUCUAUCUUAUAGCAAGAUAGUCCUUUCCUCCUCUCUUGGCUGAGAGCCAAGAGAGCAUCUUUAGAUGCUUCCUCGUCGAAGGAAAAUGGCAGAGAGAGAGAGAUGGCUGCCUGCCCUGUGCUUUUGUCCUUACCUGCACAGGUGAGGCCACACCCACCUCUGGUCACAUGCGGAGGAAGUCCGUCCCCAGGAAGUUUACCUGCUUGCUGGACAGACAUCCCUCCCCAUGUUCUAACAUGUACACUCUAGGAAUGUUGUGAUUGACUGCUCCUGUGUUUACAUCCCACAAAUGUGCCAUCGAAUCUAAUGUGCACCCUAAUUUCCGCAACAUAAUUUGGCAAAAAAAAGUAUGCAUUAGAUUUGAGUAAAUACGAUAUGUCUCAUACCUGUGACAACUGUGCUUCAAAAAGGUUCAUACUGAGAGUUCUCCAGUAUCUGUCCAUGACAAAUUUAGGAGUCAUUAACAGCUGAGCAAUAAGAUCUGUGUGAGACAAAUCCAGAACUAUCAUGAAAAGUUGGAAAGUAAAGCCACUUUAGGUUCAGGUGAGACAGAUGGUUUGGUGUUCUGGCUUAUCAGUUGAAGGACUUUGGUCCAGAAGUAGAUAUUUGUCAGGGUUGGAGUCAGACACAGGUUGGCAUGAAAGAUGUCAGUGAAGUUAACUCUUUCUUCAAGGAAAUAGCAUACAACUCGGCAAACCUACCCAGCAGGUCUUCCCCCUCUGGAGCAGUUGCCAGGACUGAAGGUCCCUGUCUUCCACCCUUUCUAAGGCUCCUCCUUUCCCAGAUGUUUCCCAAGCAGUCUCAUACUUUGUCUGUGCACCUCUGGCCUCUGUUCUGCCCUCCUUGUUAUUCUGUAUGUUCUUGGAGACCAGGGGAGAGGGGAGCUUGUCACAGCAGGAGACAGAGGCUCCCUGGAUUCUUCAGCAGUUUCUUGAUUGCCCUCCUCUGCUUCAGCUGUGGGAUGUAAUCCAUGAGAGGCAGUCAAGUACAACAUUCCUUGAAAUGCUAGAGAAGACAUGCGAGGGAAUGUUUGGUCCAGCCAGUCGAAACUUCCUGUUCCUCCUGGCUGGAGCAUCCUUCCUUUUGCAUGUGACAGAAGGUGGGCAUGACCUAACCUGUCCAGGUAACAAAAGGACAAGUCACGCAGCACUCUCUCCCUCUUUUUUGGACUUCCUUCUUCGUUUGACCAGCUUUUAGCCAGGACUGCUCUGCUAGCUCUCAGCUAGCAGAGAUAGUGGAAUUAUUCCACCAUAUGGGGUAGAUCCACAUGUACAUAUUUGUAACUAAGUCUGCCUUCAGGGAUCCAACUGUGAACUGAUGUGAGUAAACGUCCUUUAUUGACUUUGAACAAGAUUGUGGCGUCUAUAUUCUUUUAAGAGGGAUUCAAGGGAUCUUACCAGGAACGUACAAUUCAAUCUGAUACAGAUGGAAUUGUAUAAUAGUGAGAAGCUCACAUGAGCUUGCAACCAGCUAUCUGCUAUGCAUGUAAAAGGGGAAUGUAAACUCUGCUAAGUAAAGAAACUUGCUAGCCCAAGUUAGGAAGGACAUUAAUAAGCAAUAUAUCCUCUCCUGCCACCCUGAACAUUCCCACAUCAGCCUCGGUCUCUGAACUGCUCCCUGUCACAGGCUCCUCCUGCUCACUAAACCCUGAUGCCCCUUCCAACAUCCCACCAAUCUUCUCCCUCUGACCUCUCCUGUGUCCCACCACCAAUGCUCUGGCUCUGAGCCUUCCUUCUCUUGGGGGUUCAUCAGCCGGUGCCUCCCACCACUCCUCUUCAUCCAGCCAAUUCCUGACAACAAUCUUCGGACAGUCCCACCACAUGUGGAACAAAGUGUUGUUUUCUUGUAGGAUUGAGACAUGGUGGGGGGUGCCAUUUUCUGGUUCUCCUCAGGCGGCAAAAAUUAUUGGACCAUCCCUAGACUUGAGCACGUCAAAAGUACAUAACUGCUCAGUUGUUGUUUUCCUUCUGUCUCUUAAAAAAUAAAAACAGCUCCCCAGAAAGGCGAUGCCAAAACGUAUGCGCAUGCACACCCACACACCCACACAAUGCCACCUUUCAUGUUCUGCCUUUGACAAGAGCUGGAGUGGUAGCAUACUUUGCAGUUGCAGUUAAGUGCAAUUUGAAAAGCAGGCAAAAGCAGCUUUGAGCCUGCAAAGUGAAGAAGAAUUGUAGAUGAGAGAGAAGUGGAUUGCUGCAAGGAGAAAUCUGACACAUUGUUUGCCAUGAGAUAUACAAACACAAACAACAGCAAAGGAUGGGAUUGGGGCUGAGUAGCUGUUAAUGGCAGCAAUUCCCAAGAUCUCUCCCAGAAGUCCCCCCUCUCAAAGAUCAGCUCUUUGUCUAAUAGCUCUGAAGCUGUUUCGCUGAGAUUUCCAGCCAUUAUUGUUCAUCUCUUCUUCCGAGAAAGAAAGCUUUAUGUAAUGUGUCAAGAACUUAGAAGCUAUCCCUCAUUUGAUCCAAUAGACUGCAAGAAGAUCAAACUUAUCCAUUCUGAAGGAAAUCAGCCCUGAGUACUCACUGGAAGGACAGAUCCUGAAGCUGAGGCUCCAAUACUUUGGCCACCUCAUGAGAAGAGAAGACUCCCUGUAAAAGACCCUGAUGUUGGGAAAGAUGGAGGGCGCAAGGAGAAGUGGACGACAGAGGAGGAGAUGGUUGGACAGUGUUCUCGAAGCUACCAGCAUGAGUUUGGUCAAACUGCAGGAGGCAGUGGAAGACAGAAGUGCCUGGCAUGCUCUGGUCCAGGGGUCACGAAGAGUUGGACAUGUCUAAAUGACUAAACAACAACAAUAACAACAAUGUGACUGGGUGAGCUCCCGUUGCUCGGUCCCUGCUCCUGCCAACCUAGUAGUUCAAAAGCACAUCAAAGUGCAAGUAGAUAAAUAGGUACCGCUCCGGCAGGAAGGUAAACGGCGUUUCCGUGCUCUGCUCUGGUUCACCAGAAGCAGCUUAGUCAUGCUGGCCACAUGACCCGGAAGCUGUACGCCGGCUCUCUCGGCCAAUAAAGCGAGAUGAGCGCCGCAACCCCAGAGUCGGCCACGACUGGACCUAAUGGUCAGGGGUCCCUUUACGUUUACCACUGUAUUCAGAGGCAUACUGCCUUCAACAGGGGCUAGUAGCCAUUGUAGUUAAUAGCCAUGAACAGCCUUACCCUUCACGAACUUGUCUAAUCUUCUUCUAAAGCCGUCCAAGUCCUGAUUCACUGCAAUGCAGGAAUCCCUGCUAAAGAGCCUCUGACACAUGGCCACCCAACCUCUGUUUAAACCCCCCCCCCCCAAGGGAGUCCGUUCCACUGCCAAACAUCUCACACCCCCAGAAUCUCCUUACUUGCAAUUUAAACUCAUUGGAGAAUAUUGAGUUUAGCUGUUCAACAGCAGGGUCCCCCAACUGGAGAAAUGGGAUCUUAACCCACAUCCCCAUGUUCUCCGCGCUGCCUUUUAUCUCAUGGGCUGCAGCUUCACUUAAUUUAAAAUCUUUUGCUGCCAUCAUGUCUUUUAAACAUGAACUGGGGGAAGAACAGAUGAGACCGCUCCUUCUAGCAUCUGAAUAGUCAAGGGCAGCAAGAUCAUGGGGCAUGAGCUGUAAUAUUACACUUUGCAAACAUCAAGAAAUGAAUUGCAUUUUUAUCUGGCUACUCAAUAUUGUGAUCUGUUGCUACUGGGGAAAGUGCAGGGGCGGGAAUGCUUCCCUCAACAGUCACGUUGAAGGUCAUGGCUUGUGGGGAGAGAACGCCCCAUUUAUCCUUCAAAGACCCUGCCUCAGUCUCUUUCCGCAGAGAGCAGCUUCCCAGGCCUUCGCCAAAUAAAUUCUUUUUUCCGAAUUUCUUUAUGACUUAAUAAAGCUAUAGGGAAUACAUAAUGCCUUUUUUAUCAAUAUAAAUUUAUGCAGAGCAAAGGAUCGGGCCAAAUUAAAUGACAAUACUUUCCAUUCUGAAUUUAUUCGGUUUGGACAAACAAAAUACUGAUAUAUUAUCCCACCCCUCCCUUUUUUAAAAAAAGGAAAAAGAAACAAGAAACUGGUGAGAUUGAUAAAGACGGCAGGAGUGAUGAGUUAAAGUGGAUUUUCCUACUUUAAAUGCAUAGGUUACAUUUACUUUAUGCAGUCUUUAAAUAAUUCAUUAGUCCCUGAGACAGUUUUAUUAAGUCUUCCAACAGUCCUAUGGAAUUCCAAGCAGCUAUAACUUCUCGCAAGCUUAUGGGACCAAGCAGUUAGAAUGCUAAAACAUACUUAAAUUGAAAUAGUCAUAUAUUUAUGCUGGGAGAUUGUAUUUUGUCAUUGCUACCACUGCUCCGGAAUUGGAGCGCAUCUUGAAUAUUGGAUCAUGAGCAAUCAACUGAUGUGAUCUCCUCGCUGUGACAAAUCGAUGGAGGCUUGGCAGUUUCUGACGCCACCGUUGCCUUCAAAGGACCCAAAGGAAUAACAAGCAUCCCAGUUUGUAGCUUAGUGUCCCCUCCCUCAAACGUGGGAGAGCCACUGCUGCUGGUCAGUUUAGGCCACAUUGAGUUAAAUGGACAUUGACUCCGUAUAAUGUCCCUAUGUUUUUACCCGGGCUGUCCAACCUUCUCAAAAAACUGCAGGGUGUAGAACCCCAGGUCUCAGGGUCACAUUUGACCUUCUGGGACUCUCUCGCUGGCCUUCAGAACUCUUCCACACCUCUUCUGCUCAGGCCACACCUUUCCGUGGUGCAGCUUCACACUCCCAUAGCAAACUCCAACCUAAGCAUAAGGUGGAGGGGCUCACAGCAUUAACACCCCCCAAAAUAUCUGGCUUCUCCAAUUGUUGUAACUUUGGAUCCAGCAUAGAGCAAGCAGGUCUCUGUGUCUCCAGCUUCCAGCCUGGUUCCAGCUCAGCUCACACACAACCCUUUGGCUAUUGGUCUCCUAGCUAGUAUCUGGGUGAGGCAGGUGGAGGAAAGGCCCAGCUAUGAGCCACUAAUAAUAAUAAUAAUAAUUUACACCCUGUCCAUCUGGCUAGGUUUCCCCAGUCACUCGGCUUCCAACAGAAUAUUAAAAUACAGUAGUCUAUUAAACAUUAAAAGCUUCUCUAACAGGGCUGCCUUCAGAUGUCUUCUACAAGUCUGGUAGUUGUUUUUCUCUUUGACAUCUGAUGGGAGGACGCUCCACAGGGCAGGCGCCACCACUGAGAAGGCCCUCUGCCUGGUUCCCUGUAGCUUUGCUUCUCGCAGUGAAGGAACCACCAGAAGGCCCUCGGCAUCAUCAUUCAGAUGCAACUCUUGCAAAUUAGCUCUUUCUUUUGUGAUGCUGAUGAAGACACUUGAACGGCCAGCUAAGGUCAUUGCUUCACCAAGAAACUUGUGUGACUACUUCAGAAAUAGAACCAUCUAUAUUAGAUUCUAAGUCUAACUGGGAAGAGGACCCCAAGGAUUAGAAGGGACUCGAAAUAUCAUCCAGACUAAAGGUAAAGGGACCCCUGACCAUUAGGGCCAGUCGUGACUGACUCUGGGGUUGCGGCGCUCAUCUCACUUUAUUGGCCGAGGGAGCCGGCGUACAGCUUCCGGGUCAUGUGGCCAGCAGGACUGAGCCGCUUCUGGCGAAACCAGAGCAGCGCAUGGAAACGCCGUUUACCUUCCCGCCGGAGCGGUGCCUAGUUAUCUACUUGCACUUUGAUGUGCCUUUGAACUGCUAGGUGGGCAGGAGCAGGGACCGAGCAAUGGGAGCUCACCCCGUGGGGAUUCGAACCGCUGACCUUCUGAUCGGCAAGUCCUAGGCUCUGUGGUUUAACCUACAGCGCCGCCCGCGUCCCAUCAUCCAGACUGACCUCCCUCAAACCCACAACUGCUUCUGCAUUGGAGGAGGAUUAUUACAUUCAAGUCCAUGCGUGUAGGUGAGCCUCAUAGAAUUGUCUGGUUGGCCAUUGUAGGAAACAGGGGAGGGUGCGGUUUCAACUGGCCUUUUAGUCUGACCCAACAGUGCUCUUCUUAGAUUUUUGCUUCCCAGCCAAAGAUGGGACUGAAUGGCUCUCUUCCAUAAUCUCUCUUUCAAAUUCGCCUUUAUAAUAUAUUCACAAUUACUUUCUCCCAAUAUUUACUGAAUAGUCAGUGCAUUCUCUACAUGGAAGCAGCGGAUACUUUAUUUCAAUAUUUGAUGUUCGUCAGGAGAUCUUUGACAUUACGUGGCAGCUGACACCAUGAGCAGAAACUGAGUCCGUUGCUCUUCCUCCAGCAGUGAGGACCAGGACAACGUUGGCUGGGGCUGAUGGGAGUUGUAGUAUAAGUUGGGAGAUGUAGUACAAGAACUCCUAUGGAUGCAAACUGCAAUUGCAGCGGUCCUGAUCCAGAUUGGGAACCAAAGCGUUCAGGUCUCCCUACCUCACCACACACACAAUAAGGUCCCAAUCUGGAUCAGCCCUCACACUGGGAAUUUGUGCAAAAUAUCCUGCACUUCAGAGCACAGGUCAUAUGUAGCUAUGUAUCAUGUAAUUUAGCCCUAACCACCACUAUGAAUAACAACGAUUCUCAUGUCAAUUGUGCAGUGUGUGAAGACAUCCUUUCAUUUGUGUGUCUGGAAUCGACUGCCUAUCAACAAAGCAAUGUUAUUUGGUGACCUCCACUGUGAGGGAUGCGGGUGGCGCUGUGGGUUAAACCACAGAGCCUAAGACUUGCCGAUCAGAAGGUUGGCGGUUCGAUUCCCCUUGACGGAGUGAGCUCCCAUUGUUCGGUCCCUGCUCCUGCCCACCUAGCAGUUUGAAAGCACGUCAAAGUGCAAGUAGAUAAAUAGGUACUGCUCCAGCGGGAAGGUAAACGGCGUUUCCAUGCACUACUCUGGUUCACCAGAAGCGGCUUAGUCAUGCUGGCCACGUGACCUGGAAGCUGUACGCCGGAUCCCUCGGCCAGUAAAGCGAGAUGAGUGCUGCAACCCCAGAGUCAGCCAUGACUGGACCUAAUGGUCAGGGGUCCCUUUACCUUUACUGAUAAUGACAAUUUUUUUCCUUGUUCUAUUUUCUUCACACCAAGCCAGUAAAGCACAAUCUCCACAAGACUAUGAAUUUUCCUAUGUUUCUACAGGAAGGAGGAUGGUAUUACCACACUGAAUAAGACCCUGAAGAGAACUUCUCGCAAGAUUCAGUGGAAACAUGGUCGAGAUGAGCAUUCCCUAUGAAGUGAUUCACUGUUAUCACUUAUCUUGCAUUUUCCUCAAUGUAUGUUUGAACCCACUAAUCAAUUUACUUGGGCUCAUUACAUUUGAUACCAAUCAGAUUAAAGCUCUGGGACUAUAGGGGUGCAGAUGGUAGAUUACGCCCCCAAUAAAAAAUAGAGUCCAUUUUACCAGAAAUUGUGCCUUUAAUUAUAUUUUUCUGGUGGAAAUCGCUCAAAUCCCCCAUACUUUCCACUUAUCUCCAGUCCUGUCCUGAUGGUUUCAGCAAGUGAUUCAUAUUCCAGGUUAUAAUUUUCAGUCCUUUUUCUUCAUAUUUUUUUUUUAAAGUGACUCAUUUAUAUGCCAGCUCAGAGCCACUUAAUGCAAGGCUGCCAUGGACCAACAUUUUGUUCAAUAUUGGUUUUCAGCUCAUUUUCCUUGGGCUUCUGAGUGGAGGGAUGAAUCACUCCAUUCCCAGAUUUAUUGCUAGCACUCCGCAGAAUAGGAUGUAACGUAGAAGUGGAGGGGAGAGGUGUCUGUUGACCUGAGUGGGCUGGCAUUUUGGACAGUACAGGAAGUUCUCUUGUGGAGCAGGAUCGAUCGCCAAUUCCACGGAGAUGCAGCUAUUGUGAGUCGAGGAUCCGCCACCCACCUGACGAUAAGAAAGACACAAGGACGCAGUAUAUUAGGUUAAUGGGCUAAAAAAGGCCACAACUUUAUUGAUUACAGGAUGUGAGUGGUAUUGGCUUAAAGGUAAAGGGAUCCCUGACCAUUAGGUCCAGUCGUGGCCGACUCUGGGGUUGCGGUGCUCAUCUCGCUUUAUUGGCUGAGGAAGCCGGCGUACAGCUUCCGGGUCAGGAGAAGACAGUACCCAGCUGUGGAGGUAGAGCAUGACCACCAAUAUCCUUACCCCUAUGAAUAUGUCUAGUCCUCUUCAAAGUUGGUGGCUGUUGGUGGAGCAAUUUCCAUAGUUUAAUUUGGCACUGUGUAAAAAAGUACUUUCUUUUGUCCGUUCUGCCCAUUCAGCUGGGAACCAGAAGCACGAUGAGAGCUUCAGUGAGUUUGAGACCCCUUUGGCUUUGUCCUAGAUUUGCUUGACAAUAACAAGUAGAUUCUGUGCAUGGCAUCUACUUCCCUCCCUAGAAUCAUAGAAUCAUAGAAGAGUUGGAAGAGACCACAAGGGCCAUUGAGUCCAACCCCCUGCCAAGCAGGAAACACCAUCAGAGCACUCCUGACAUAUGGUUGUCAAGCCUCUGCUUAAAGACCUCCAAAGAAGGAGACUCCACCACACUCCUUGGCAGCAAAUUCCACUGUCGAACAGCUCUUACUGUCAGGAAGUUCUUCCUAAUGUUUAGGUGGCAUCUUCUUUCUUGUAGUUUGGAUCCAUUGCUCCGUGUCCGCUUCUCUGGAGCAGCAGAAAACAACCUUUCUCCCUCCUCUAUGUGACAUCCUUUUAUAUCUUUGAACAUGGCUAUCAUAUCACCCCUUAACCUCCUCUUCUCCAGGCUAAACAUGCCCAGCUCCCUUAGCCGUUCCUCAUAAGGCAUCGUUUCCAGGCCUUUGACCAUUUUGGUUGCCCUCCUCUGGACACGUUCCAGUUUGUCAGUGUCCUUCUUGAACUGUGGUGCCCAGAACUGGACACAGUACUCCAGGUGAGGUCUGACCAGAGCAGAAUACAGUGGCACUAUUACUUCCCUUGAUCUAGAUGCUAUACUCCUAUUGAUGAGGCCCAGAGUCCCUAGUUUUGGUCAACGCAAAAGUUGAAAUUAGAAGCAAGGCUUCUCGUGAGAAGGCAGAAUGCUGGAUGACGUAUCCUUGAAUCUUCCUAAAAAAACUGAAGUUAUGUAAGGGCCAGAGCUGUGUUCAAGAAGGUAGAAAGGUUUGCCUCUCCUGCUGGUAAGGAACAAUAGUCCGCAUCUCCUGACAAGCGACUCAAUAGAUCUCCUGCCUGGCCUCUUGGCCAAACCGCCUACUGACUGUCUUUACAUACAUAUAGAUAGAUAGAUAGAUUAUGAAAGUGCUAAAUCUGUAUGAGAGGAAAGUAAAAUAGCAUUGUACACAAGCAGAGAUUGAAAGCUGGGAGAAUGCUCGAGUUUCCUUUGUUGGAACAGUUGGGUCCGCAUUGUGCAGAUCCAUUUGUUUCCUCCUCUGCAUUUUGUGACACAACGGCUACAAAGCACCCCUGGGAUUCUUGCUAUUAUAAUACAGGAAGCGUGUUGCACUGUGGCAGCCCGCAACUUGCUUCACACGGGAAUGAAGCAGCGCAAAUAUGCUUUUCCUCACUGCAGAAUGGAGAUCAGGAAUGUGAACCCAGGGAAUGUGCAAUAGGGACCAAACCGGGGGGGGGACCCCUAUGGGUAUACCAAUGGAUUUGUGCGGGGCCCGGGGUUAACCCAAGCAACGCUGUCCAGGUCCGGUCUCGAAUCCAAGGGUUCCAUGAGGAGUCAGUCCGACAGGGCCAAGGCAGGAGACCAGGCAAGGUCAGGCACAGGAUCACAGGCAGGUUCUGGCAAACAGCAACAUUGCUCCUGCAACCUGGGGUGGGGUGCGGCAGCCUUUUAUCUCUGUCAGGGUAACGGCCGGUCCUGAUCCCCCGGCGACUCACCUCCCUGUCUCACCCGAAGGCGAGCACUCCUCCUGCAAGUACUUAGGUCUCUCCUUCUCAGACCUUAGUCUCUGCAGCUCGGGAGACGUCGGUGGGUUACUAGACCCAGAGGCUGCCUCAGCCUCCCCUGACCCAAGCGGUAGUGGAGCAGCUGUAAGUGAUGGCCCAGCUGAAGGCAACGAGGUAACCCCCGCAUCUGGAGCCAGGGCAGGCUCAAGCCCCUGACUCGGCCCAGCUGGUGCUUGUUGCAGGGAAACCUGUGCAGACUGGGACUCUUCAGAAUCAGGCCCCAGACUUGGUUCAGAUGAUGCCUGAGGCAAAGGAAUCAGUGCGGACCGAGACUCCUCUGGCUCCGAGUCUGAGCCCGCGUCCCAGGCCACCACGGGAUUUAAGUUACAAGAAAGGAGAUUCUGACUAAACAUCAGGGAGAACUUUCUGGCUGUAAGAGCUGUUCAACAGUGGAAUGGACUCCUUAGGAAGGUGGUGGACUCUCCUUCCUUGAAGGUUUAUUUUCAGCAAAGGUUGGAUGUCCAUCUGUCAUGGAUGCUUUCUCUAAGAUUCCUGCAAUGCAGAUAGUUGGACUAGAUGACCCCUUGGGUCUCUUUCGACUGUACAAUUCUAUUGUUCCUUCUUAGUCAUUGCUUGGGUGUGUUUGUCAGUGUUGCUUCUCUUCCUCCUUGACAUGAAUGUGUGAUUCACGGGACCAGCAGAUCUUCCUGCUUUCUGCAUCCCACAUGCUGUUUAUGUUUUGUUACUUUGGUUCCACACAACUGCCUCCUUGUUGUGUCUUCCUCGAAAGGGGAGUCUUCCUCUAUGCCUACACACUCAGACGCAAGAGCAACAGAGAGGGAUGCACGCAAGAGACUCCGUCACCUACAGAAGGGGCUGACAGAUGAGGGCAAUUAGUAUUUCCCCAGUGUCUCCACAAGAGAAAAUAUCAGUCAUGCUCAGCAGAACAAGCCAGCAAGUUGAUGCAGUCAACAUGCACACGCUGUUCUCCUUGUGGGGCAAAGUGUGGUUCCUGCAUUGCAGGGGGUUGGAGCAGAUGACCUUUGGAGUCCCUUCAAACUCUACAGCUCUGUGAUGCUAGGAUUCAAUAUACAGAAGAGGAGGUGUGAUUGCCUUGUUGCACCCUAAGGACAUGGCUACAGCAUCUCCAGGAUGGGUUUCCAAUACUGGCUGCUUCAUCAGACACCUGUCAUGGUCCGGUUCAUGGGCAAUUGAAGUCCCGGCAGGGGACGUCAGGACCAGGGGCAAGAUGGGGGGGAGCAGGAACGGGGGUCCAAAAGCCAGGAAGCCAAGAGUCCAAGGGUCAGAGAGCCGGGAUUCAACAAGCCAGGGGUCCGAGGAUCAAGAAGCAAGGAGUCAAGAAGUCAAGGGUCCAAGGAUCAAGAAGCAGGGAGUCAAGAAGCCGAGGUUCAAGGAUCAGGAAGCAAGAAGCUCAAGGCAGGAAGCAUGUUGCUGUGGCAAAGAGCCGAAGGGAAAUGCUGACCUUAUAUCCCUUCCCAGCUCUUGCCACCAGGUGCUGUGAGUUACCAAUCAGCCUCACCUGUGAGGCCGCACCUUGCCUCUUCAGAACAAACUUAGGAAGGCGCCAGACCUGCAAAGUCCUAUUGGUCACAGGGCCUGGCUCCUGCACACACACCUGACAACACCUAAUAGGAAUGUAAUGAAAUGGCACUGCAAGAAGAGUCAGGGCCAGAUAUUUUGCAGUCUGAGAUGAUGGUCAAGGUCGCUUCCCAUUCAUAUUGAUGGCUGGUAGACACAAUAUCAGGGACUGCACUGAAGGGGACUGGACUGAUGAGGAAUGGUGGAGACCACUCUCCCACCUCUUGAACCUUCCAGAGAGCAGGAAGGCAGUAUUGAUUUGCAGCAGUGGUUUGAGGAAGGUCACAAUUCAAAGACAGGUGAACAGAAGAGUUGGGAGGUGUUGGGAGAAGAGGGAGGGUGGAGACAGAGACAGAGCAGCCAGCUGACACAUUAUCACUGGAAAGCAUUCCCAAUCCCUCUUCUCCCAGAACCUGGCGUGCAUUGAAAGUGCAAGAGCAAAAGACUCAGAGACAUUUAACCCCUGGCGGCCACCGUAAAGGGAAAAUGUUGUUGCUAGGAAGGGAGAAGGAAGGAGCCCAGUUAGAACAACACUAUUAUCUGAGUGGCUGCACCCUCCAUAUUUCUCUGUGAAUCUUGAAUAAAUACAUGGGUAAGAAAGUCUUGUUUUCCACUUCUGGCAUCCAGUCGUGAGGCAGGGCAACUGGAUUCCCUUGAAGUCUGACACACGGUGGCCUUCACAGCUGGAGGUAGUUAUGCUUCUGGGCACCAGUUGCUGGAAACCACAGGGAGGAAGGAUGCUCUUGUGCUUAAAUCCUACUUGUGGGUUUCCCGUGGGCCUCUGGUUGAGGGAGACCCCUCUUUCAGUCCCACCACCUCUCAGACAUCCUUGGUAAGGAUGGGGAGAGGGCCUUCUCAGUGAUGGUUCCUCCCAGAUUUGGAAACAUCCUUCCUAGAGGAGCUAGACUGGCUCGCUCCUUACUGUCCUUCCGCCAGCAGUCAAAUACUUUCUUAUCCCUACAGACUAUGGGGUACUAACUUAAAAAAAAAAGUUAGUCUAAAUCAGCGGUUCUCAACCUGUGGGUCCCCAGAUGUUGUUGGACUACAUGAUCACCCCUGACCACUGAUCAUGCUGGCUAGGAAUGAUGGGAGUUGUAGUCCAACAACAUUAGGGGACCCACAGGUUGAGAAACACUGGUGUAAAUAAAGCCCUUUCCUUAAAAAUAAAAUAAAAUAGUUCUUGACUGUUUUAUUCUCUGUAUUUUAAUAGAUUGGUUUUAUUUUGUUUUUACGAGAGCUUAAUAACUUUUGACAAUCAUCAUUUAUAUGUUUUUCAGCUUCUUGUCUUUUAUCUGUGGGCAAGAUUUCUGCAUCACAGCGGAUUAGACUAAAUGACCUCUGGGGUCCCUUCCAACUAUUAGAUUCUAUGAUCAAUGAUUUGUAAGCCACCCGGAAUCCCACGCUGGGAGCAAAGCAGGAUAUAUAAAAUAAUAAAAACAAUAAUACAGAGGUCCAGUAAUUGAUGAAGUGAGUGAAGCUGUAGGUCAUACUUCUGCUGGCCCUUACAUGGUCACACAUGGUAGGUUGGUGGACAGGCAGAAUCACACAGAGGGACCUGUACACAGGAGAGAUAUCAGGGUGUUUUCUUUGGAGUAAAAGGUAAAGGGACCCCUGACCAUUAGGUCCAGUCAUGACCGACUCUGGGGUUGCGGCACUCAUCUCGCUUUAUUGGCCGAGGGAGCCGGCGUACAGCUUCCUGGUCAUGUGGCCAGCAUGACUAAGCCGCUUCUGGAGAACCAGAGCAGCGCACGGAAACGCCGUUUACCUUCCCACCGGAGCGGUACCUAUUUAUCUACUUGCACUUUGACGUGCUUUCAAACUGCUAGGUUGGCAGGAGCUGGGACCAAGCAACGGCAGCUCACCCCGUCGCGGGGAUUUGAACCGCCGACCUUCUGAUCAGCUAGUCCUAGGCUCUGUGGUUUAACCCACACCACCACCUGCGUCCCUUUGGAGUGGGGGGGUGCUAUUUGCUCUUGGAUGCGACUGCCAAAAGGGGUUAAACUUCCAGCCCCUUUUGGCUCAUCCAAACUAACUUUCAUAGUGCAUUAUCUAGGUCUGAGCUUUAGAGCUCUGUAUCAUGGGUAGGCAAACUAAGGCCUGGGGGCUGGAUCAGGCCCAAUCGCCCUCUUAGUCUGGCCCGUGGACGGUCCGGGAAUCAGUGUGUUUUUACAUGAGUAGAAUGUGUCCUUUUAUUUAAAAUGCAUCUCUGGGUUAUUUGUGGGGCAUAGGAAUUCAUUCAUUUUCUCCCCUUCAAAAUAUAGUCCGGCCCCCCACAAGGUCUGAGGGACAGUGGACCGGCCCCCUACUGAAAAAGUUUGCUGACCUCUGCUCUGUAUCCAAACAUUUUUAUGUUGCGGUGCUUUCUCUGGGAAAGCCCACCUUUUACUACUGAAUCGGAGCAAAUGGCAAUCUGGUUUUCCAUGUUUGGCAGUUUGCUCUGUUUCAGUGGUAAAACGUAGGUUUUCCUGGGAAAGUACCAGACAAAAAAAAUAUUUGGACAUGUAACUUUAAAGCCCAGACCUGUGCCUAAAUACACAGCACAAAAGAAAGUGUGGAUAAGCCCUUUGUCUUUUUGUUCGUUGUCAAAUGCCACAGAUCCUUUGAUCCAGCUCUGUUUUAAUCGCCCACUUCUAAUUUUGCUCCAAAAUUGGAGCUCUCGUUGACCUUUUCUCAGGCUCCACUGGUUUCAUUAGUCUGACUAAUUAACCAAACUGACACAAGACCAAAAAAAAGAGAGAAAGGAAAAUGAAGAAGAAACAUUAUGGGAAGAGCUUGUCUUCUAGCUGACUUCUGCAGUGAAACUAGAUGCGCUCAGUAGAAACUGGAGGAUGGUGAAUAACAUACAGUGGGUGUGAUUUUAAUCUAGACCAAGUCAGGUGCAUUUAGAGUGCAUUGAAAGCAACUGGCAGAAGCAAAGGAUUAUAUCCGGUGUUAGAAAUACUCAGAGUAGACCUAUUGAACACCUAGGGAUCAUAGAACUGGAAAGCUGGAAGGGACCACAACGAUCUUCUUGUCCAACACCUAGCAAUCAGGAAUCCUUCAUGCAACAUGGGGCUCAAACCCAUGACCUUGAUAUGAACAGUCUCAUGCUUUACCAACUGGGCUAUCAGCUUGCAAAAAAGGCUUCUAAGCUCUUGGUGUUGCUUGUGGGCUCUAGGAGAGUUAGGGUUGCUCUGGAGAGAUUUCAUGGCACAAUCCGACUUCCUGAAUGAGAGCAUCCCCACCAGACCCGAAUAUAGUUGAAUCAAUCAAUCAAUCAAUCAAUCAAUCAGUCUUUAUUACGGUCCAGAGACUCAAUAAAUCGUUACAACGCAAUGCACAAUUCAGACAGCCUACCUCCAGGUUAAACAAGCAUUUUGUUCCGACUUAAAGAUAGGGAUCAUUGGUUCUUGCAACCACCGAUAAAAACUUCACCACUGCUAAUGUUCUAGCGUUUGUCCGGUCUUCCAAUAGGAACCUGACAUAGUGAGCCUCUGAUUUUCCCGGGAAAGGUACCAGCAAGGGUAAUACAGUGGUACCUCGGGUUAAGUACUUAAUUCAUUACGGAGGUCCGUACUUAACCUGAAACUGUUCUUAACCUGAAGCACCACUUUAGCUAAUGGGGCCUCCUGCUGCUGCUGCUGCUGCUGCGCUGCCAGAGCACAAUUUCUGUUCUCAUCCUGAAGCAAAGUUCUUAACCUGAAUUACUAUUUCUCGCUUAGUGGAGUGUGUAACUUGAAGCGUAUGUAACCCGAGGUACCACAGUAUCAGUUCAGCCCUGGCUUGCUCAUAUUUCGCACAAUGCAGCAAAAUAUGUUUUAUAGAAUCGAUGUCUUGAGCGCACAGGCAAAGUCUGUCCUGGCAGGGAACUCCUCUCAACCUGCCAUCCAACACUGCAGAAGGAAAGACGUUUAUUUUGGAAAUGUACAUCCAGGGUUUUUUUUCCUUUAAAUGUUUUGGGGGACAGGAGGCAGGUAGGUGUGGAGGACUCUCUGGUCCUGAAUGGGGUAACUGUGCCCCUGAAGGACCAGGUGCGCAGCCUGGGAGUCAUUCUGGAUUCACAGCUGUCCAUGGAGGCGCAGGUCAAAUCUGUGUCCAGGGCAGCUGUUUAUCAGCUCCAUCUGGUACGCAGGCUGAGACCCUCCCUGCCCGCAGACUGUCUCGCCAGAGUAUAGCAUGCUCUAGUUAUCUCUCACUUGGACUACUGCAAUGCGCUCUAUGUGGGGCUACCUUUGAAGGUGACCCAGAAACUGCAACUAAUCCAGAAUGCAGCAGCUAGACUGGUGACUGGGAGCGGCUGCCAAGACCACAUAACACCGGUCUUGAAAGACCUACAUUGGCUCCCAGUAUUUUCUUGAGCACAAUUCAAAGCAUUGGUGCUGACCUUUAAACCCCUAAAUGGCCUUGAUCCAGUAUACCUGAAGGAGCGUCUCCACCCCCAUCAUUCUGCCCGGACACUGAGGUCCAGCUCCAAGGGUUUUCUGGCGGUUCCCUCACUGCGAGAAGCAAAGCUACAGAGAACCAGGCAGAGGGCCUUCUCGGUAGUGGCACCCGCCCUGUGGAACGCCCUCCCACCAGAUGUCAAAGACAAAAACAACUACCAGACUUUUAGAAGACAUCUGAAGGCAGCCCUGUUUAGGGAAGCUUUUAUUGCUUAAUAGACUAUUGUAUUUUAAUAUUCUGUUGGAAGCCGCCCAGAGUGGCUGGAGAAACCCAGCCAGAGGCAGUGAUUACCACCAACUUGGGUGGGGUAUAAAUAAUAAAUUAUUAUUAUUAUUAUUAUUAUUAUUAUUAUUUGGGGACCCCCAAGAGAGUGGGGCCCUAAGCUAUAGCUUGCUUAGCUUAUACAUAAAUCUGGCACUGGGUGUGUUUGGUUUCUGGGCAGAUGGAAGUGCCAUUUCUCAUUUUGAAAAUUAAGCAAGUGUGUGCGCACACACACACCACUUCAAGGUUAAGGAAGCAGCACUGGUAUACAAACCCCUCCAGUCCUAAUGUGCUCCACCAACAGCAAUGGCUUCUUUUAUCCCAGCAGAUUUAUACCCCCAAGCAGAAGAGAGCCCCAGCACAUUCUGUGACAGAUAGCUUAGGACCUUGGAAGAAUCUUUGAUGAAGAAUGUCAGUUAUAUCCGAAUAAGCUACCAUGAUAUACUUGCCUGUCAAAAGCAGAAGAGAAUUUCCCCAUCUGUCUUGCAUGUUCCUAUUCACUUCCUCCUCAGCAUUGAUUUUCUAAUUGUUGGCUUGCAUGCAGCCUGAACUACUCACCACAGCCAGCGCGGAUUCAAAUAAUACCUGAACGCAAGCUCUAAUAUCGACCGGCACUCGCAUCCCUGCAUUGCCUUUUUGGUCUCAGUUAAUAUUUAGAGGCCUGAGGCUGCAAACCUAUACCUACUUACCUGGGAGUAAGCCUCACUGAGACAUCAAGGGACUUACUUCUGAGUAGGGGUGGGAGUGAAAUUAAAUUCAAUCCAUGUUUUAAAGUGAAUCUAACCAAUUCCCGCUUUCUCAAACAGUGCAUGACCAUCUUUUGGUUUUGUUUGUCAAAUGUUAUUAAGAAUAUGGCAAUGAGUUAAAGAAAGAAAAAGAAAAUAUAAAUUAAAACAUUUUAAAAGGCAGAGGAAAACAAUAUCAAGAUGACAAUAAAAUAUAAUUAAGAUUACGGAAUUAAUCUAACAUACAGUGGUACCUUGGUUCUCAAACGCCUUGGGACUUAAACAACUUGGAACCCAAACACUGCAAACCCGGAAGUAAGUGUUCCAGUUUGCAAACUUUCUUUGGAAUCUAAACAUGCUCCGUUUUGAGUGUUGCGCUUCCGAUUUGAGUGCCACACUUUCCGUUUUGAGUGCUACACUUCUCGUUUUUGCUAUUUAUUUUGCAUUUCUGUUUUUGCGGCUCUUUUUUGUUUAGUUUUUCUGACUGUGUCAUCCCCUUCUCCUUGUGCCCUCCAUCUUUCCCAACAUCAGGGUCUUUUCCAGGGAGUCUUCUCUUCUCAUGAGAUGGCCAAAGUCUUGGAGCCUCAGCUUCAGGAUCUGUCCUUCCAGUGAGCACUCAGGGCUGAUUUCCUUCAGAAUGGAUCGGUUUGAUCUUCUUGCAGUCCAUGGGACUCUCAAGAGUCUCCUCCAGUACCAUAAUUCAAAAGCAUCAAUUCUUUGGCAAUCAGCCUUCUUUGUGGUCCAGCUCUCACUUCCAUACAUCACUACUGGGAAAACCAUACCUUUAACUCUACGGGCCUUUGUCAGCAAGGUGAGGUCUCUGCUUUUAAAGAUGCUGUCUAGGUUUGUCAUCACGUUUCUCCCAAGAAGCAUAAUAUAUCCUCUCCUGCCCCCCGGAACAUUCCCACACAUUUAAGGAAGAUGUGGAGCAAGGCCAGUGAAGGUUGUUGCCUGGCUAGCACCCCAAAGCCGAGUGAGAGGUGCCAGGAAGACUGCAGUCAGCCCCCAGAAUGAACCCCCAACCUGAAUUUACAACACCCCCUGCUGUAAAUUACCCCACAAAGUUAUCGAUUACAGAGCCAAGCUCUAUCAGUAAGAGCUGUUUAAAGGUUGAAUGGAAGGUGGUAGACUCUCUUUCACUGGAAGCAGAGGCUGGGUGGCCUUUGGUCAGGGAUUAUUUAGCUGCUUUUCCUGCAUAAUAAUAAUAAUAAUAAUAAUAAUAAUAAUAAUAAUUGUACCCCAACCAUCUGGCUGAGCUUCCCCAGCCACUCUGGGCGGCUUCCAACAAAGAUUAAAAAUACACUACAAUGUCACACAUUAAAAACUUCCCUGAACAGUGCUGCCUUCAGAUGUCUUCUAAAUGUCAGGUAGUUGUUUAUCUCUUUGACAUCUGAUGGGAGGGCGUUCCACAGGGCAGGAGCCACCACCGAGAAGGCCCUCUGCCUGGUUCCCUGUAGCUUUGCUUCUCGCAGUGAGGGAACCGCCAGAAGGCCCUCGGUGCUGGAUCUCAGUGUCCGGGUAGGACGAUGGGGGUGGAGAUGCUCCUUCAGGUAUACCGGGGGUCCCCUGCAACUCUACAAAUUUGUGAUUCUUGGAGUAGAGUCUCCUUUCACAUUAACAAAUGAUAUUGAUGGUGUGAAUCACAGUGGGGCCUAUCGAGCUCUAGAUUUGUAAUAUCCCCUCCCCAAAUAAAAGAUGGCUCCCUUGCUAUUUGAUGUCUGGCAUUUGUGUGUGUGAGAGAGAGAGAUUUGGAGGCACCUGGCAGAGUUUUGCUGCUAAAAAUAAGCAGGGCUCACUUUUCAAGCUGCCUGAAUGGGAGACCUUUUGGGAACCAUUUAUAAGCUGAUCUGAGCUCCAGGAUGGGGAAAAAGUAGAGCAUAUGUGAGAUAAUUAAAUGAUCAACCAUUUUUGGGGUGAGGGGCUAAGUCCAUCCUAAACUGCACGCCGUUCUUCUUCUGCAGUAGCCAAUGUAUCUUUUCUGAGAGUCGGCUGAUUCUCCAAGGUCAGGGAAAGUUCCAUGCCUCAGAUCAAGUAGCAAAAUUCAUCUAUCCAAAGCGACCAGCUAGCAUUUUAAUCACUGCAGUGCCACACGUCCCCUGCUUCUCAGAGGCUGAACUGCCUUAAAUAUUGCUUCCACCAACCUCCAGCAAACACACUGGUCAUAUGGAAACCAAUGUUCUAAAACAGUAGAAAUAAAAUAUUGUUCAUCUUUGCCGCUUUGAUGGAAAAUAUAUUAAAAAAUCUUGUGAUUUUGUUUAAUGACUUCAACCUCCAGAUAAAAUUUUUGUAGUUUUCAGACAUCACAACCUAUACAGCAUCCCCCCCCCAAAAAAAAACCACCCUACAAUUUGAACUUCCUAAAAACAGAGUCCUUUAGGAAUAGUAUUUGCAAUUCGGCUGAGUUAGAGUGACAGGUGACAUUCAAAGACUAGUCUUGGAUGAGGCUGGGACUAGUAAUUAGGAAUAACAUUGGAGGAAACUUUGAAACAGCUCUCACCACCUGAAAGUUCUUUCUUGUAACUUGAAUCCAUUCAUUUGGGUCCUGCAGAAAACAAGCUUGCUCCAUCUAGCAUGGGUCAGAUAUUUGGAAAUGGCUAUCCUAUCACCUUCUCCAGGUUAAACAGACCCAGUUCCCUCAACCAUUCCUCAUAAGGCUUGGUUUCCAGACCCUUGAUCUUUCUGGUCCCCCUCCACAGGUGAAAAAACUAUCCACAGGCAGGACAGGUAAAAUAAAAUACUUCUCCAUGCAGUUCAUAUAUCAACUAUGGAACUCACUCCCACAGGAGACAGCAAUGGCCACCCACCUAGAUGGCUUUAAAGGUGGAUCAGCUCAAGGUGGAUCUGCUGAUGCCUCUAGAAUGUAACAGUCUGGUGCUGGAUCAGGCCAGUGGUCCAUCUCGUCCAACCUGCUGUUCCCACAAUGGCCAGCCAGAGGCAGUGAUUACCACCAACUUGGAUGGCUUUAGAAGAAGAUUGGAUAAAUUCACGGAGGAGAGAGCGCUAUUGAUGGUCACUAGCCAUGGGAGCUAUGCAUGCCAAUGUACAGGAAGAAGCAGAGAUCCCCAGGGUCAAAGUGAUGAUUCUUCAACAUCGGUUUUGUUAGACUGGUCAUGUUGUGCGGAUGCCUGAUGAUCGUCUUCCAAAGCAACUACUCUAUUCCCAACUUAAAAAUGGAAAGCGUAAUGCUGGUGGUCAACAAAAGAGGUUUAAAGACUGUCUCAAGGCAAAUCUAAAAAAAAUGUAGUAUAACAGUAAAGGGACCCCCGACCAUUAGGUCCAGUCGUGGCUGACUCUGGGGUUGCAGCACUCAUCUUGUUUUAUUGGCCAAGGUAGCUGGUGUACAGCUUCCAGGUCAUGUGGCCAGCAUGACUAAGCUGCUUCUAGAAAACCAGAGCAGCACACGGAAACACCGUUUACCUUCCUGCUGGAGCGGUACCUAUUUAUCUACUUGCACUUUGACGUGCUUUGAAACUGCUGGGUGAGCAGGAGCUGGGACUGAGCAACGGGAGCUGAGACCCCGUUACAGGGAUUCGAACCACCGACCUUCUGAUCGGCAAGUCCUAGGCUCUGUGGUUUAACCCACGCCAAAAACCAACAAUUGGGAAACACUGACCUGUGAUUGCUCUAGUUGGAGAACAGCCUUUAUCAAAGGUGUCAUGGGCUUUGAAGACGCUUGAACUCAGGACGCAAGGGAGAAACGUGCUAAGAGGAAGGCACGCUUGGAAAAUCCACACCGUGAUUAACUCCCGCUCGGAAACCAAUGUCCCCACAAUGGAAGGACGUGUGGAUCCAGAAUUGGCCUCCACAUUCACUUACGGACUCACUGUUAAAACCAUGUUCAUGGAAGACCAUCUUACUCGGCUACGAGUGAUAGCCAAAGAAGAAGAAAGAAAGAAGAAGCUCUGCCUCCACUGCUGGAAACAGCAAUGCUUCUAAGUCCCAGCUGCUGGAAACCACAGGAGGGGCCACAGCUCAGUGGUAGAGCCCCUGGCUGGCAAGCAGAAGGUCCGCAGGUUCAAUCCCCACCUGGCAUCUCCAGGUAAGGUUGGGAAGAGACUCCUGCCUUAAAUCCCAGACAGCCACUGUCACUCAGUGUAGACAGUACUGAGCUAGAUGGGACUCAGUGUAAGGUCGCUUCCUGUGUUCCCGAGUCCUGUGUUCGAAUCCUGCUUGCGGGUUUUCCACUGGGGCACCUGGUUGGCUGGCUGCUGUGAGAACAGGAUGCUGGACAAGAUGGACCAUUGGCCUGAUCCAGCAACCUCUCCUUAUAUUUCAAUGCUUGACACUCCAUAAGAGGAAAACAGCAAAUCCCACCCCUGGGUUUUUUGAGCGGCUGGUAGAAUUGGAGGAACAAAGGUCUUUGGCCGAAAUACGAGGGGAAAGAUAAAAGAUAAGGAGAGGCAAAGAGCUCUGAAUGUGAGAAGAUUGGAGCCUCAGGUGGAUCUAACAGACUGGAUCCAACAGAGGGAACCAGAGAAGGCUUUGAUGUUUGCGGAUUUAGCAAAACGGUGGAUUUCAAAAUGCAUGCAAUCUUUUUCCCUCCCCGGUUUCUACACUCGGCAGGAGCAAAACUCCCUGUGCCUGACAUGGACUUUCCUUGCUUGUUAUUUUCCGUUCGGUGCCUCGUUAUUUUAUUUUAUUUAACCACUGGCGUAUCAGCGGCUGCGUCCUUCUAUGUAGAUGGAAGAGCAGUGCCCCCUAGUGGCGAAAGGAGGGAACUUCCAACCAAUACUCCUUUCUUAGGAUGCAUUUUCGUCCUUCAAAUCAGCAAAAAAAGGGAAUUAAGACGCGCUGGAGAUUAGCUAACCUUGACGUAGCCCCCAGGAACAGUCUAGAAAGGAAAGCUAAUCCCCCACCUCCACCCUCCCAAGGCCCAGGGAGAAAAGGACCGAGCUUAGAUUAGAUAGGAACCAGUCCAGCAAAGUUGUCCUUCAAGUGGCCUCUUUCCUCCUGGCUCCCCGGUUUCAGUGAAUAAGAUCAGCUUCUGGAAAUGCUAUUGGUAUCUGACAAGGGAAGUGGUUUCGGGGGAGGUUUUUGUUUUUUUGCUGCUGAGUGAAACGGAAACUAAUUGGGGAGGAGGGGAAAUCAAAAUUAAAAUAAGAAUGCACUGGUGUUGAAAGGAACAAAGCAUCUAGGCAUUUUGAAAACGUGGAUUUGGUCACCCAGAGAGCAGACAACCUUCAGAAAAGGAAGCGACAUCACUUUGCCAACAAAGGUCCGUAUAGUUAAAACCAUACAGUUUUUCCCAGUAGUGAUGUAUGAAAGUGAGAGCUGGACCAUAAAGAAGGCUGAUCGCCGAAGAAUUGAUGCUUUUGAAUUCUGGUGCUGGAGGAGACUCUUGAGAGUCCCAUGGACUGCAAGAAGAUCAAACCUCUCCAUUCUGAAGGAAAUCAGCCCUGAGUGCUCACUGGAAGGACAGAUCCUGAAGCUGAGGCUCCAAUACUUUGGCCACCUCAUGAGAAGAGAAGACUCCCUGGAAAAGACCCUGAUGUUGGGAAAGAUGGAGGGCACAAGGAGAAGGGGAUGACAGAGGACGAGAUGGUGGGACAGUGUUCUUGAAGCUACCAGCAUGAGUUUGACCAAAAUGUGGGAGGCAGUCGAAGACUGGCAUGCUCUGGUACAUGGGGUCACGAAGAAUCAGACACGGCUAAAUGACUAAACAUUAACAACAACAAUAAUAAUUUAUUAUUUAUACCGCACUCAUCUGGCUGGGAUCCCCCAGCCACUCUGGGUGGCUUCCAACAAAAUAUUAAAAUACAGCAAUGCAUCAGACAUUAAAAGCUUCCCUAAAAGCUUCUCGCCCUAAUUUGCAGGCAAGAAACGGGGAGGGGGGGUGCCGCUGGAGUAUCUCUUUCACCUGUCGAAAGUGGAGCGCAGUCUUUGCCAACCUCCUGUCCUCCAGGUGCACUGGACUACAACUCUCAUCAGACACAGGCUGCGGCCAAUGGGAGUUGUAGUCCAAAACUGAUGGAGGGCAUAAAGUUGGCAGAGGCUGGUGUAGCAGGUGCUGUCAUGGACGGGCUGGAUAUAGAGGAGGGGUGGGAGGAACCAGCCAGGGAGACCCCCCCCCCCAAGGGAAACACCAGAGGAGGAAGGCUCAGAGCCAGGGCAUCAGUGGUGGGACACAGAGGAGAGAAGGAGAAGAGUUUGGAUUUGAUAUCCCGCUUUAUCACUACCCUAGGAAGUCUCAAAGCAGCUAACAUUCUCCUUUCUCUUCCUCCCCCACAACAAACACUCUGUGAGGUGAGUGGGGCUGAGAGACUUCAAAGAAGUGUGAUUGGCCCAAGGUCACCCAGCAGCUGCAUGUGGAGGAGCGGAGACGCGAACCCGGUUCACCAGAUUACGAGUCCACUGUUCUUAACCACUACCCCACACUGUGUAGGUCAGAGGGAGAGAUUUGGGAGGAGGUACACAGGAGGCACUGUGGUCUAAACCACUGAGCCUCUUGGGCUUGCCAAUCAGAAGGACAGCAGUUCGAAUCCCCACGACAGGGUGAGCUCCCGUUGCUCGGUCCCAAAUCCUGCCAACCUAGCAGUUCGAAAGCACAUCAAAGUGCAAGUAGAUAAAUAGGUACCGCUCCGGCGGGAAGGUAAACGGCAUUUCCGUGCGCUGCUCUGGUUCGCCAGAAACGGCUUAGUCAUGCUGGCCACAUGACCUGGAAAAACUGUCUGCAGACCAAUGCCAGCUCCCUCAGCCAGUAAAGCAAGAUGAGCACCGCAACCCCAGAGUUGUCCACGGCUGGACCUAGCAGUCAGGGGUACAUUUACCAGGUGCCAGAGUGGCAAUGGGGUUUAGUGAGUAGGAGGAGCCUGUGACAAGGAGCAGUUCAGACUCCAAGGAAGAAGCAGAGGGAGGUCAAGAGAUUGUGGAAGAAUCCAGGGAGUCUUCCUCUCCUGCUGUGGCAAGCUCCCCUCUCCCCUGGUCUCCAAGAAUGCGCAGGAAUAUGAGGAGGGCAGAACAGAGGCCAGAGGUGCACAGUUGCAGUUUGAGGCUGGUGGGAAACAUUCCGGAGAAGAGAAGCCUUAGAGAGGUGGGGAUGGUGGGGACCUUCAGUCCUGGGUGGAAGGGACGUGGGUGGCGCUGUGGUCUAAACCACGGAGCUUCUUGGGCUUGCCAAUCAGAAGGUCAGCGGUUCGAAUCCCCAUGACAGGGUGAGCUCCCGUUGCUCUGUCCCAGCUCCUGCCAACCUAGCAGUUCGAAAGCACGCCGGUUCAAGUAUAUAAAUAGGUACCACUGUGGCAGGAAGGUAAACAGCAUUUUCGUGCGCUUCCAUCACAGUGUCCCAUUGUGCCAAAAGCAUUUUAGUCAUGCUGGCCACGUGACCCGGAAAGCUGUUUGUGGACAAACGCCGGCUCCCUCGGCCUGAAAGUGAGAUGAAUAUGCAACCCCAUAGUCGGCUUUGACUGGACUUAACCGUCCAGGGGUCCUUUAUCUUUACUUUUUUUACCUCAGUCCUGGAGACUGCUCCAUAGGGACAAGACCUACUAGGAAGGAUUGCUGAGAUCCUGGCAACUUCGCUGGCAACAGAGAUCUGCUUCCUUCAUUGCUAACCUGCCUUUGACUCCAGCCCUGACACCUACCGGAUUCCUUUCCCAGAUGAUUCUGGCAACGCAUGAGCUUUUCUGCAGAAUCUAUGGGGUUUUUUUAAUCUCAUGCACAGCUCUGUGUGUCUGAAUCCUCAUCUAGCCAGAAUGGGGCCAGAGGGAGGUAUCAGUGACUUUCGGGCGGGGGGGGAUGCCAAGGUUUGCAGAAUUGGGUGUUUGGAGGAAUGAUGAUGGAAACCCAAAACAACCCAACGAGGACUGAGCAUGCUUCAGGGUAAUGGCAUGAUGACUGAUAGUUCAAAGGUGGGGAAAUGGGAAAAUGAAGACUGGUUAUCCUGACAGAGACAUCACCUUGCCAACAAAGGUCCGUAUAGUUCAAGCUAUGGUUUUCCCAGUAGUGAUGUACAGAAGUGAGAGCUGGACCAUAAAGAAGGCUGAUUGCCAAAGAAUUGAUGCUUUUGAAUUCUGGUGCUGGAGGAGACUCUUGAGAGUCCCAUGGACUGCAAGAAGAUCAAACCGAUCCAUUCUGAAGGAAAUCAGCCCUGAGUGCUCACUGGAAGGACAGAUCCUGAAGCUGAGGCUCCAAGACUUUGGCCACCUCAUGAGAAGAGAAGAUUCCCUGGAAAAGACCCUGAUGUUGGGGAAGAUGGAGGGCACAAGGAGAAGGGGACGACAGAGGACAAGAUGGUGGGACAGUGUUCUCGAAGCUCCCAGCAUGAGUUUGACCAAACUGCGGGAGGCAGUGGAAGACAGGAGUGCCUGGCGUGCUCUGGUCCAGGGGAUCACAAAGAGUUGGACACGACUAAACGACUAAAUAACAACAACAACAUCCUGGCAGAGGACAAGGCUGGCAAGCUAGAGCCCCAAGCACUCCAUGCUGAAGAUUUCACCUGCGAUACUACUAUUACUACUCAGAAUAAUACUAUUAGUACUGGUUGCCAUAGUAAUGAAGUGAGUUCAAAUUUUGGAGACAGUUUUAGCACUUAAUUCACUGUUUGCUGUAGCAUCAAAGGAGAAGCUGAAUGUAGAUACGAACAACUUUCUACUGUCAGCAACAACAGCAAAUUUCCGGGGCCCUGAACUUACCCGAUUCCUCUUGUCGAACUUAAAAGGGGUGGCAGCCUCUCAAAAUUAAUGUUCCCACAUGAAGAGCCAUUAGCAUCUGAGACACAUUUAGAUCAAUUAUAUUAUUCCCAAUCAAGGCUAUUUCUUUCACCCAUUUGAACUACAUUUCCCUUUGCUUCAAUUAUAAGCAGCUGCGAUUCAUUGGGACCGGAAGACAGGCUGGCUGUCAGACAGUCACAAAAUCACAGAGAUCAUAAAACUGCGUCAAGAGUUCAAAUGCACUCCCCCCACCCAAAGGUCCCAUAUCCCAGGGGUCAGCAAACGUUUUCAGCAGGGGGCCGGUCCACUGUCCCUCAGACCAUGUGGGGGGCCGGACUAUAUUUUUUGGGGGGGGGAAAUGAACGAAUUCCUAUGCCCCACAAAUAACCCAGAGAUGCAUUUUAAAUAAAAGGACACAUUCUACUCAUGUAAAAACACGCUGAUUCCUGGACCAUCCACGGGCCGGAUUGAGAAGGCGAUUGGGCCGGAUCCGGCCCACGGACCUUAGUUUGCCUACCCUUGCCGUAAAAGAGGAACCUUCCCCACAGAUCUACAUGUUCUGACUAAUAGCUUGAGAGGCAACACAAGACAAGUAUUCGUACAAAAAUGGGAUAAAUAUAAGAAAUAUUUAUGAAAUUACAACAGUUGUAUAAAGUCUGUGGCAGCAUUUAAUUGACCCUUAUAUAGUGAAACAUAUGAGAAAUAAAUCAAAAGGUACUAACUGUUGUAAGAAUGUAUUAGAAGGAAUAUAAAGAAUAACUCAAUAAUGUUAGGUAUGUUCAUUACUAGAAUAAGGCUAUACACUGGGAAAUGAUAGGAAGUCCAACUACACCUUUCUUCUGUUUUUUUCUUUCUUUAAUUCAUGUUAAUAAAUAGAUAAGACAACAAAAGAUAGUAAAAAUAUGAAUUAGUUUAAUUUAUGUAAGUAAACAGAAUACUGCUUGUAUAUGAUUUUUGCUUACACGGAUUAUAUAUAUGUUUACUCAAGAAGAUGUACAAUACAUGUGUAUAUGUUAUACGAGAUGUGCUAUAUGAAAUGUGUCAUAUGAUAUAAGAGAUUGUUAAUAAAGCAAAUAAUUAAAAAAUAAAAAACCCAGGGGGGAAAACAGAUCCCCACAGAUCAACCCUGGAGGUGCAAUGCCCCCUCAAAAAAACCCCUCUCUUUCAGGUUCUUCACUGCGAAAAUUACCCCCUGAGGUUAAUAAUAAUAAUAAUAAUAAUAAUAAUAAUAAUAAUUUAUUUGUACCCCGCCCAUCUGGCUGGGUUUCCCCAGCCACACUGGGCGGCUUCCAACAAGGAUUAAAAAUACAUGGGGCAGCCUGCCAUAGGUUCCCUGACAAAUGGACAUGUUAAAAACAAACACGGAGAUAUCUGAUUUCUGCCUGGUUAGGACAUGUCAAGUCUGCAUAUGACCCUUACACCUGUAGGAUAUGAGCAACCUUGCCUGCCUCCAGUCAGCAGAGAGUGCUGUUGGGACUAAUGGAUGGUCAGGAUGGAUGGUGGCUAACAGACUGAGGUUGAAUCCUGACAAGACAGAAGUACUGUUUUGGGCGGACAGGUGGCGGGCAGGUGUGGAGGACUCCCUGGUCCUGAAUGGGGUAACUGUGCCCCUGAAGGACCAGGUGCGCAGCUUGCGAGUCAUUUUGGACUCACGGCUGUCCAUGGAGGCGCAGGUCAAUUCUGUAUACAGGUCAGCUGUUUACCAGCUCCAUCUGGUACGCAGGAUGAGACCCUACCUGCCCGUGGACUGUCUCGCCAGAGUGGUGCAUGCUCUGGUUAUCUCUCACUUGGACUACUGCAAUGCGCUCUAUGUGGGGCUACCUUUGAAGGUGACCCAGAAACUGCAACUAAUCCAGAAUGCAGCAGCGAGACUGGUGACUGGGAGCUGCCACCAAGACCACAUAACACCAGUCUUGAAAGAGCUACAUUGGCUCCCAGUACGUUUCCGAGCACAAUUCAAAGUGUUGGUGCUGACCUUUCAAGCCCAAAAUGGCCUCAGUCCUGUAUACCUGAAGGAGCAUCUCCACCACCAUUGUUCAGCCCAGAUGCUGAGGUCCAGCUCCAAGGGCCUUCUGGCGGUUCCCUCACUGCGAGAAGCCAAGUUACAGGGAACCAGGCACAGGGCCUUCUCAGUAGUGGCACCCGCCCUGUGGAACGCCCUCCCACCAGAUGUCAAACAGAAAAAUAACUACCAAACUUUUAGAAGACAUCUGAAGGCAGCCCUGUUUAGGGAAGCUUUUAAUGUUGAAUAGGUUACUGUAUUUUAGUGCUCUGUUGGAAGCCGCCCAGAGUGGCUGGGGAAACCUCCGGCAGAAGAUAUAGAAGCAUCAUUAGUCGCACCAACAGGGUAAAGAACAGCUUCUAUCCCUGGGCUGUUAGGCUGCUGAAUGAAAAGAUAACAACAGGGCAACUGACUUUCGGGUUUGGUGGGUGUGCAUCAGUAAACGAGGGGAAUUAAGACUAAGAGAGCUGAGUGGGGGGUGCUUGUGUAAUCUCACUGUAUACAAGUUGUACAAGUGACAAUAAAGUAUUUCAAUUUCAAUAUACAGGCUUUUGGGUACACAUAAGGGAUAAAGGAGUUUUUUAUUAUAAUGGGGGUCAAUGCUAGCAAUGUGUGAAUGAGACAGAAUGAGGGCAGUGCUGGGUAGAUCCAGUUUGCCAGACAGUGUGGUGUAGUGGUUAGAGUGUUGGACUAGGACCGGGGAUACCAGGGUUCGAAUGCCCACUUGGCGAUAAAGCUCGCUGGGUGGCCUUGGGCUGGUCACUGCCUCUCAGCCUAACCUACCUCACAGGGUUGUUGAGGGGAUUAAAUAAGAAAGGGGAGAACCGUGAGGACCAUGAAGCAAAAAGGUGGGAUAUGAAAUGCAAUAAUGAAGAAUAAGCCUUUAGUUCUGCUAUAAACUGAAAUUGAUUCAUUUUUAAAACCCAAUUCAUUUUUUAAAAAACUCACCCUAGUUGCACCCCUUUCCUUGCCUGGAAAACCCGCUUGCUGAACUUCUCCUAUGGAUGGGCAGGUUUGGAAAAUAUGACAAUAGCGAAAUCCUCUCUGGUUUUAAAUUAACAGAUCUGCCUCCUCUUCCUUGCUACAUGAUCAUUCCUCCCGAGGAGGAAACAAAAGAUCUUGUUUGAGCACUUCAUAUUAAUUUAUCUUUCCUUGAAAGCACAAGGCAAUAAUAUAUUUUUUAUCUAAAAAAAGAAAAAGAAAAAAAGGUUAACAGAUUUAAAGCUGUUGUUCCAUUAAAUGCCUGUCAUUUGUAUCUCAUACCCAAGCAAUCAUCUGUAAGUCAUUCCAACGGCUUUAUGAAAACACACAACACCUAUUUUCUGUGAGUUAUUUUAAGUGACACUUGGUAAAUGCACGGUGAUCAAUCAGCCCCUUGUAAAAUAUUGGCUUCCAAGCUUGAGCUGUUUAUGAAUGGGAGGAAAAGGGGUCUUGAGAGGGAACAACACUUUCUAGCAAGCAUGAUCCAUGGUGGCCACUGAGACGAGGCCAGUAUGUAACUUUCCCACCAUGGUGGGAUCCCAUAAACCCUCUUAGCGCACCCAUGGUCACCCAGACAUUGCUUUCCAGCCCUCUUUUCAAGCCAUCCAAGUUGGCUUCCCUGACUUCCUCCUGAGGCAGGGAGUUCCAUAGUUUAACAAUGUACUGCGUGAAGAAUGACCGUACUUUUCCAUGUAUAAGACUAGGGGUUUUUUUACUAAAAAAUAAUGUUAAAAGGGGGGGUAGUCUUAUAAACGGGGGCAAUCUCCCCCCAUUUUCUUACCGUAUUUUUCACUCCAUAAGAUGCACCUGACUACAAGACGCACCUAGUUUUUAGAGGAGGAAAGUGGGGAAAGCCCCGUCUUUUGAGGACCAGCUCAAAGUUGUUGAGUUUACUUUGCAAACGGGGAAAAAUCCUGUUUUUAUGGGGUUCAACUCACAGUUCUGCAGAUUCUUUAGGAAAGGAAAGGGAGCCGUUUCUACAGUUUCCAGACAGAUAAUCUAAUCAACCAGUCAGUCAUAUGUCGCUGGGGAAACAAACAGUUUACGUCAGCAGAACAUUCAACAGUGGAGGCCUGGGCAAGAGGCUGGGGCUGGAAAGGGAGCCAGCAAUCAACCACACAUUUGCACCAUAAGACGCACAGACAUUUCCCUUACUUUUUAGAAGGAAAAAAGUGCGUCCUAUGGAGCGAAAAAUACAGUAGUUUUGAGUCCCCCAAAAUAGGGAGCAUCUGAUACACGGGUGCGUGUUAUACACUUGAAAAUACAGUACUUUGUUUCCUCUGUCCAUUAAGCUGCAUUGGGAUGUCCACAAAUUCUAGUAUUGUGAGAAAGGGACUGAGGGGUCAGAGCCGGUGCUCUUGACUUCUAUUGUGUCAUUCAUGCAGAGACUAAAGACUCAGCUACAAUAUAAUAAUAAUAAUAAUAAUAAUAAUAAUAAUAAUAAUAAUAAUAAUUUAUUAUUUAUACCCCGCCCAUCUGGCUGAGUUUCCACAGCCACUCUGGGCGGCUCCCAAUGGAGUGUUAAAAACAAUACAGCUAAACAAUACUAAAGAAACAAUACUAAACAAUACUAAACAACAAUACUAAAGAAAGUUUAGUUUUGUAUGCGUUUUGUAUGCAUUCUAGCACUGUGACACCAGGUGGUGCUGGGGAGUCCUGUCUUUCACCAACGUGAUUUCCCACUGGGAGGUUUACAACGCAUUUCCCCAAAACGCUUAUUUUUUUUUAUGUGUCUAGAUCCAGCCUGUUCUCUUUGUCCAUGGAGUUCUCUUGGCAGGGAUACCGGAGUGGCUUGCCAGUUCCUACUCCAAGUGGUGGAGGAGACUCUUGAGAGUCCCGUGGACUGCAAGAAGAUCGAACUGAUCCAUUCUGAAGGAAAUCAUCCCUGAGUGCUCACUGGAAGGACAGAUCCUGAGAAGAGAAGACUCCCUGGAAAAGACCCUGAUGUUGGGAAAGAUUGAGGGCACAGAGAGAAGGGGACGACAGAGGACGAGAUGGUGGGACAGUGUUCUUGAAGCUACCAGCAUGAGUUUGACCAAACUGUGGGAGGCAGUGGAAGACAGGAGGGCCUGGUGUGCUCUGGUCCAUGGGAUCACGAAGAGUUGGGCACAACUAAACGACUAAACAAGAAUAAGAUCCAGCCUGAGAGAACAUUUUGGAAAGACUUUUAUCAGGAAGGAGCAUUAGUUAGAACCUCUUUCCACAUGUUAUUUUUGGCCAAUAAACACACCCGGUGGCUUUGAGACUAAUUCAGGGAGGAUGGGUUUGUCAAUAACUAUUGGUAGAAAUAGCCAGGAAUGGAACCCCCACCCUCAGGGGCAGUCUACCAUUGACAGCUAGAUGACCAAUGCAGAGCAUGAUUGUCAUCAACUUGUCUUUGGAGAGGUUCCAACAAACACGCAGUCCAUCGCUGUUAAAGAUGAAUCCUUGGCCUGUUCCACUAAGGCGAUUCUUAAGGCAUCUGACUUUCUGUGCUUAUUGUAUUCCUCUGCGAAUGGGUGUCUGCACAUGAAAGCGUGCCUUGCUUUCAAAAGGCUGCGAGAGAAACAAUAUUCAAUUGUCCUCCACUUAUCUCCUUCGCUCAUAUUAUGGAAAAGGGGGCCUUCGGAUAGAUGGAGAGAUUAAGUAAUGGCUGUGGUGCAUUAACGAUGCUGAACGCUUCGAUGCAAAGCACACUGUGCGAUAUUUUUUAGAGUCUGGGGUUGUUAACUCUUGUUCAGGAGCCGAGGCAGAAAGAUUCUAUAAGAGUCAGAAAAAGGAGGUGGGAUUCUGUAUGUUUUGCACAAUCUCUUUGCCUCUAACACUCUUCAGCAAUUACAGCCAGUGCUGGAUUUAUGUAUAAGCUAAACAAGCUAUAGCUUCGGGCCCCACUCUCUUGGGGGCCCCAAAAGAAUUUAAAGGGGAAAUAACUGGAUGUAUGUUUCCAAAAUAUAAGAUAAAAAACAAAUAAAAUAAAACCUACAUACAGCAACAGUGUUAUGUGUUGUGUAGGCUCCUAGGAUGCAAGUCAUGGGCCCCGGCUGCUCCCUAAAAUAUCACUGGUUUGCUCAUUUCUAUAUAUAGGGUGCCUACUUUCUGCAUGGACUGGUUGCAUGGCAACAUGUGCAAAUGGUUUGAGAUACCUAUUAGGUCAUGGAUAGGCAAACUAAGGCCCGGGGGCUGGAUCCAGCCCAAUCACCUUCUAAAUCUGGUCCACAGAUGGUCCGGGAAUCAGAGUGUUUUUACAUGAGUAGAAUGUGUCCUUUUAUUUAAAAUGCAUCUCUGGGUUAUUUGCGGGGCAUAGGAAUUCGUUCAUUCCCCCAAAAAAUAUGCAUAUAUAAUCCGGCCCCCACAAGGUCUGAGAGACAGUGGACCGGCCCCCUGCUGAAAAAGUUUGCUGACCCCUGUAUUAGGUCCAUCAGUGACCAUAUAGCAUAUAUUCAACACACAAAAACAGCGACAAUUUGUUGCUGACAAAGGACAGCUGGACAUACAAUGGUACCUCGGGUUAAGAACUUAAUUCUUUCUGGAGGUCUGUUCUUAACCUGAAACUAUUCUUAACCUGAAGCACCACUUUAGCUAAUGGGGCCUCCCACUGCCGCUGUUCCGCAGCUGCACGAUUUCUGUUUUCAUCCUGAAGCAAAGUUCUUAACCUGAGGUACUAUUUCUGGGAUAGCGGAGUCUGUAACCUGAAGCAUAUAUAACCCGAGGUACCACUCUAUAAAGGACCCCACUACCUUCAGUAGCUUAGGUCCUCAUCAAGUCUAAAUCCAGCCCUGAUUACAGCACUGGGUUUAUCUUUAUCCAAAUAUAAGGGGUGGCGCAAACAUUUUCCUGCCUCUGAUAAAGGACAGGAUUACCCCACCAGCACCUUCCAAGGAUCACAGCUGAUCUUAUUUCAAUGCUUAGAACCAUGGAAUUGUGACAUUGUCGAGUUGGAAGGGUCAUCUAGUCGAACCCCCUUGUGAUGAGGCACCAUCCCCACCCUACUUGAGGUCCGCAGCCUUUCUUAAGGAACAAAGGGUGUGGCACUUGUCAUGAAACCUGGUUGUAUUUCCACAUUACCCCUAGUUCACAUGCCUUGUCUUUUCCAUGUCUCGGGGACCAAGGCAGGUUUCCUCCAAACUUAGGAACCAUUUGCAAUGAUGGAAUGUUCCCCCUCUGGGUGGCGCUGUGGUCUAAACCACCGAGCCUCUUGGGCUUGCCAAUCGGAAGGUCGGCGGUUCAAAUCCCCACGACAGGGUGAGCUCCCGUUGCUCUGUCCCAGCUCCUGCCAACCCAGCAGUUCGAAAGCACACCAGUGCAAGUAGAUAAAUAGGUACCCCUGUGGCGGGAAGGUAAACGGGGUUUCCAUGCGCUCUGGUUUCCGUCAUGGUGUCCCGUUGCACCAGAAGCGGUUUCGUCCUGCUGGCCACAUGACCCAGAAAGCUGUUUGUGGACAAAUGCCGGCUCUCUUGGCCUGAAAGUGAGAUGAACGCCACAACCCCAUAGUCGCCUUUGACUGGACUUAACCGUCCAGGGGUUCUUUACCUUUAAAAAAGGUAAAGGGACCCCUGAUCAUUAGGUCCACUUGUGACCGACUCUGGGGUUGCAGCGCUCAUCUCACUUUAUUGGCUGAGUGAGCCAGCGUACAGCUUCCGGUCAUGUGGCCAGCAUGACUAAGCCGCUUCUGGCGAACCAGAGCAGCGCACGGAAACGCCGUUUACCUUCCCGCCGGAGUGGUACCUAUUUAUCUACUUGCACUUUGACGCGCUAUCGAACUGCUAGGUUGGCAGGAGCAGGGACCGAGCAACAGGAGCUCACCCCGUCGCAGGGAUUCAAACCGCUGACCUUCUGAUUGGCAAGUCCUAGGCUCUGUGGUUUAACCCACAGUGCCACCCGCGUCCCUCUUUACCUUUACCUUUGCUCUCCCCACUAAUGCUGUCCAUUUAUUUACCUAUUGCAUUUAAAUCCCACCUUCUUCAAGGAGCUUGAGGUGAUGUGCAUGGUUCUCCCCCCCAGCCCCUCUUCAUUUAAUCCCCACAUCCACCCUGUGAAGGUGGGUUAGGGAGGCAAUGACUGGGCAUUUGAACCCUAGUCUCUCCCAGGUCCUAGUCUGGCACUCUAACCCAGUGGUGGCCAAACUUGGCCUGCCAGCUGUUUUUGGACUACAACUCACAUCAUCCCUAGCUAACAGGACCAGUGGUCAGGAAUGAUGGGAAUUGUAGUCCCAAAACAGCCGGAGGGCCAAGUUUGGCCAUCACUGCUCUAACCACUACACCACACUGCCAGAUUUAUUUCUGUACUUCACAGCCUUUGGGGAAAGCUUUGUGUUUUCAGAAACUUUUCCCCCCAGUUGGCUGAGAUUUUAAUGAUUUUCAUUUAUGCUGAGCCACCGAAGCUGGCUCUUUCAUGUAGGUGCUUCAAUAUUGUGUUUUUAAUAUUCUUUCUAUUUAGUUUUGACAAAAUCGGAAAAUAGAAAGAACCUCCCGAGAGGCAGCUGAUACCUUCAUACAAAGAGCAGCACAGAAAAGAACUUGAAGCUGUGACGUCUCUGUCUACAAGAAUCGGGAAUGGCAAUGCAAAGGGAUCACCCGCCAGGAGUGUGGAAAUGUGGGAGGUAUUUGACUCAGCUUGCAUUUAAAGACAAACCUGUCUAACGCUUCCCUAAUAGGGUGCAAACCUAAAUGCAGCCAAACUUUGAAAUUCAUCCCUCUCUUAAUUCUGUCAUGCAGCCAAUAAAUGUACAUGAAAAUGCUUAUACUGGUGAAAUUAUUAUGCACAAAAAUGCAUUAUAUUACGGGGCCAUUCCUCUGCAAAAAUGUGUGUUUCAGGGGAAAUUGCAUAUGAAAAUGUGUAGUAGAGACUUUGCAUGGAGAAGGUCCCAGGUCUAAUUACAGUGGUGCCUCGCAAGACGAAAUUAAUCCGUUCCGCAAGUAUCUUCGUCUAGCGGUUUUUUCGUCUUGCGAAGCAACCCUAUUAGCGGAUUAGCGGAUUAGCGCUAUUAGCGGUUUAGCGGCUAUUAAAGGCUUAGCGGCUUAGAAAAAGAGGGGGGAAAGCGAAAAAAAAAUCUCAAGACUCGCAAGACAUUUUCGUCUUGCGAAGCAAGCCCAUAGGGAAAUUCGUCCUGCGAAGAGCAUUGAAAACGGAAAACCCUUUCGUCUAGCGGGUUUUCCGUCUUGCAAGGCAUUCGUCUUGCGGGGCACCACUGUAUUGGUGUUUCUAAUAAUUCCAGUGAAAAAAGGUUUCUUUGAAUCUACUUACAUACUGCUGAAGAAGCAAGCGGCUUCUGAAAAGUGGCUUGUCUCUUCAGCAUAGGGUUGAUAUAUCCAAUAUGCCUCUAGCUAAUGGAUAAGAGAAAAAGAAGUGCUAUCCCCGCAAAUUUUGCAGGUGAUGGAGGGGAUGAAGCUAAGAAAUUAUUAAGAUCCCAUCCACUCACUUUUCAUCUACAAAAUCCCCCCCCCAUUUUACUAGCUAUCUAGAAGACUGUUCUUUCUUUCACUGCACCUUGCUAUGUAAAGUGGUGCCUUUGAUCUGCAUGUUGUUGUUUAGUCGUGUCCAGCUCUUCAUGACCCCAUGAACCAGAGCACGCCAGGCCCUCCUGUCUUCCACUGCAUCCCGCAGUUUGGUCAAACUCAUGCUGGUAGCUUCGAGAACACUGUCCAACCAUCUCGUCCUCUGUCGUCCCCUUCUCCUUGUGCCCUCCAUCUUUCCCAGCAUCAGGGUCUUUUCCAGGGAGUCUUCUCUUCUCAUGAGGUGGCCAAAGUCUUGGAGUCUCAGCUUCAGGACCUGUCCUUCCAGUGAGCACUCAGGGCUGAUUUCCUUCAGAAUGGAGAGGUUGGAUCUUCUUGCAGUCCAUGGGACUCUCAAGAGUCUCCUCCAGCACCAGAAUUCAAAAGCAUCCAUUCUUUGGAGAUCAGCCUUUUUUAUGGUCCAGCUCUCACUUCCAUACAUCACUACUGGGAAAAGCAUAGCUUGAACUAUACGGACCUUUGUUGGCAAGGUGAUGUCUCUGCUUUUUAAAGAUGCUGUCCAGGUUUGUCAUUGCUUUUCUCCCAAGCAGCAGGAAUCUUUUAAUUUCGUGGCUGCUGUCACCAUCUGCAGUGAUCAUGGAGCCCAAGAAAGUAAAAUCUCUCACUGCCUCCAUUUUCCCCCUUCUAUUUGCCAGGAGGUGAUGGGACCAGUGGCCAUGAUCUUCGUUUUCUUGACACAGACAUGGGUGAAACCAAAACAUUCCAACACAUAUUCACACAGCCUAACAAAUGCUGUUUGGGUACUUAUCUGCAAAAGCAGGUGUGCUGGUUUAGCUUGGGGGAUCUGAAUCUCUGCUGAAUAUCCUGUCCUUCCAGUGAGCACUCAGGGCUGAUUUUCUUCAGAAUGGAGAGGUUUGAUCUUCUUGCAGUCCAGGGGACUCUCAAGAGUCUCCUCCAGCACCAGAAUUCAAAAGCAUCCAUUCUUUGGCGAUCAGCCUUCUUGAUGGUCCAGCUCUCACUUCCAUACAUCACUACUACAUUUACGUGACAAAGCGUAAGUAGUGUUUGGUCUAGGUCAGGUCUGCUUAAAUACCAAAGUAGAAUGUGGCACUGCUUAAUCUGGGGUAAAAUGGUAUGAUUUCAAUGCCUGCCCGCUGCGUCAGCCUGUCUCACUUCCAGAUUUUUCUUUCUUGGUGCAGGAAAUGAUGCGAAGGGGAUGAUGUAAUGAGAGGGGGGGAUGAAAAAGAAACCUCUUUUUCACUUGCUCAGUCAUUCCUUCCGGUGGCACUAUAUUUAGUGCCUUAGCGAGCUAUUAAAAGCUAUCGCGGAGAGACUCGCAGUGAUUGCUAUCCUCAUCAUGUGUGAUAUCACACAGGUACACUCAGAGUCUUGCGUAUGGUGAUGCUUUAGCAACAAAGAAGAAAUCCUUCAGUUUUGCUCUGUCACCUUUCCAACAUUAGUCCACAUUUCCACAUCACUUCGUAUUCUUUUUCUAAAUCCUGGUUAAUAUAUAUAUAUAUAUAUAUAUAUAUAUAUAUAUAUAUAUAUAUAUAUAUAUAUCAAGAAAAUUGGCUUCCAGGUGGAAAAAUCAAAAUUGGAAACAGAACUGUUAGAACCCAAAACUAAGAAUCUGUCAAGAAUGUAUAACUUGCUGUUGAAAUGGAAUACUCAGGAUGAAACGGUGAAAUCUGCUAUGAUUAAAUGGGCACAAGAUGUUGGACAUAAUAUUAUGUUUGCUGACUGGGAACAGUUAUGGCCUGUAAUUCCCUAAGAGAGAAUAUUAUGAAAAUGAUAUACAGGUGGUACAUGACCCCAGUCAAGCUUGCAAAAAUCUAUCAUUUGCCCGAUAAUAAAUGUUGGAAAUGUAAAGAAACUGAAGGUACAUUCUUUCACCUUUGGUGGACGUGCCCAAGGAUUAAGGCUUUCUGGGAGAUGAUAUAUAAUGAACUGAAAAAGGUAUUUAAAUAUACCUUCUUGAAGAAACCAGAGGCCUUUCUUCUGGGCAUUGUCGGCCAAUUGGUGCCAAAGAAGGACAGAACUUUUUUUAUGUAUGCUACAACAGCAGCAAGAAUACUCAUUGCAAAGUAUUGGAAGACACAAGAUCUACCCACUUUGGAAGAAUGGCAGAUGAAGGUGAUGGACUAUAUGGAAUUGGCGGAAAUGACUGGCAGAAUCCGAGACCAGGGAGAAGAGUCGGUGGAAGAAGAUUGGAAGAAAUUUAAAGACUAUUUACAGAAAUAUUGUAAAAUUAAUGAAUGAUUGAAUGAUGUUGGAUAGUAAUUAAGCGGUUUCUAGCUGUAAUGCUUUAAGAGAAUAUGAAAAAAGGGUUAUAAAUGGGUUAAAAUCUAAUGGUAAGGAUUUGCUGAACCAAUAAAUUGAAGUGGAAUACAAAAAAGGGAGGUACGAGGAGGUCCGGGAAACAAGCUAAAGGAAAAUAAGUAACUGAAAAUAUGUGUGUUUUUAACUGUUUUUAUUUUGUAUUUUUCUCUUUUCUUUUUCAUUUUUACUGUAAUAUUUCAAAAAAACCUUAAUAAAUAUCUUAUAAAAAAAAUAUGUAUCAUCUUAGUGGGAAUUUAUCCCGAAAUACUUGUUUUUCUGCAAGAUUUAUCUGAAUAUACGCACUUUUGCAAAGUGAUUUCCUCAAACAGAAUGCAUUUCUGUAUGCUAUUUUCACUAACAUAUGCAAACAAACAAACAAAAUACAUUGUUAGGCACACUUUGUCCCGGGAUAUUCAUUUCCGUAUACAUUACUUGGCUAGAGAACUGCAUUGCAAAAUUCAGAGAAGUGCAAAUUUUAAAUGCCCUUACAUGUUUUAUUUAUUGAAUUUGUAUAGUGUCCUUCAGCCACAAGUCUCUGGGUGGUUCACAAUGCAAAAUCACAACAGAGAAACCGCAAAAUAUGUAAUAAAAAUAAGAACAACAUAAAACCAAUAAUCACUCCCAUCCCACAACACAUUUAAAAAAGCAUCAGAUGUCCAUCAGUCAGAAGCCUGGUUGAAGAGGAGUGUUUUUGUCUGGCACCUAAAGGUGUAUAAUGCAAGCACCAGCCGAACCUCCCAGAGGAGAACACCCAGCAUCUGGAGAUGUGAAUAAAUGUUUCUCUCCUACCUUUGAUCCUAGGACUGUGAUAGUUCCCAGUUCACUUCCCCGCAGGAUGCGGGUGGCGCUGUGGUCUAAACCACCAAGCCUCUUGGACUUGCCGAUUGGAAGGUCAGCGGUUCGAAUCCCUGUGACGAGUGAGCUCCUGUUACUCUGUCCCUGCUCCUGCCUACCUAGCAGUUCGAAAGCAUACCAGUGCAAGUAGAUAAAUAGGUACUGUUGUGGUGGGAAGGUAAACGGUGUUUCUGUGUGCUCUGGUUUCUGACACGGUGUUCCGUUGCGCCAGAAGCGGUAUAGUCCUGCUGGCCACAUGACCCAGAAAGCUGUCUGUGGACAAACACCAGCUCCCUCAGCCUGAAAGCAAGAUUAAUGCCGCAACCCCAUAGUCACCUUUGACUGGACUUAACCGUCCAGGGGUCCUUUACCUUACCUUUACCUCACUUCCCCGAAUCCACUAGGAAAACAUAAGGGGCAAAUGGUAGCUAAUGUAGUGCAUAGUUCUCGAAGCUACCAACAUGAGUUUGACCAAACUGCGGGAGGCAGUGGAAGACAGGACUGCCUGGCAUGCUCUGGUCCAGGGGGUCACGAAGAGUCGGACACGACUAAACGACAACAACAGUAGUGCAUCUUAACGGUACUGAGCUGUCAAACCAAGCUUCAAAAUCUCACCUCUGGUAUGACCUAACAAGAUGGCCUUAAGCCAAGCUUUCUUGGCCUAAGAGCAACCUGUAAAAUGAGGAUAAUCAUAUCUGAGUAUUUCACAAGGUGGUUACGGGAGGAUUGCUAAGGCAGCGCAUGUCAAACCAUCUAUGAACAUGCAGAAGAGUUUUCCAUAGAACACCAUCAUCUAAUGUGAUUAAAACUAAUGCAAUUCUAGGCUGAAUCAAGGGAAGCACCGUGUCUGGAUCAAGGGAAGUCCUUCCUCUUGUUUGUUCUGCAGUCUUCCAACAGUUUGCAUCACUGGAUGACCCUGGGUUCAAGUAUUAUAAGAUGGGAGAACAAAAAUCUCUCUGCUCCCACCUCCUCCCAACACACCCACUUCCUUCCCGAAACAACUUCCACUUGUUGCCUGUCCUAUGAGGGACAUCUGUCAGGCUCUGGGGACUCAGCUUCUUCUCCCCUUUGGCCGUAGAUAGGCAGGACAAGUAGAUAAGCAGUAGAUAUAGGGGCGCUGUGGGUUAAACCACAGAGCCUAGGAGUUGCCGAUCAGAAGGUCAGUGGUUCAAAUCACCGCAACGGGGUGAGCUCCCAUUGCUCGGUCCUUGCUCCUGCCAACCUAGCAAUUCGAAAGCACGUCAAGGUGCAAGUAGAUAAAUAGGUACCACUCCGGCGGGAAGGUAAACGGUGUUUCCGUGCACUGCUCUGGUUCGCCAGAAGCGGCUUGGUCAUGCUGGCCACAUGACCCAGAAGCUGUACGCCGGCUCCCUCGGCCAGUAAAGCGAGAUGAGCGCCGCAACCCCAGAGUCGUCCGCGACUGGACCUAACGGUCAGGGGUCCCUUUACCUUUAAGCAGGACAAAGCAAAAAGAGUCCCUUACCAUUUAAAGAGUCUUUAAUGAUCACAGCAAAAGAACAAAGCAUCCAUUCUAGGAAUGAAGGUAUUCCCAGUUAAGGAUUCCACUCACUUCCCCCCUCGUCAUUUCCGUUUUGCAACCUGAUCUCGCAACCAUUGUGCUUUUUGUGCAGCCACCUUAUCUGCACGAAGCGACCUUGGACUGAUAUGCUGAAUACUUCCCAGUGAGAGAGAGUCUGUUAGGUCUCCCUCUCUUUUCCUGUUCUUCUUCACUUUGCUGUUCACCCCCCAGUUCUUCCCAACUUUUGUCUUCUGAACUAUGCCCCUCUGCAAACCACUGUUCUAAAUCUAUACUGCUCCACUGUUCCUGGGCAGCUUCAGGAUCGUGGUCAGGAUCAGGGCCAAGGCGAGGCUCCCACCAUUCCUCAUCAGAGCUGUACUCCUUGGCCCGGUCUCUGACACCAUCUUUCCAACCACAAAAUCACCAAAUAGCAUUGCUACAUAGACAGUGACACCAACGAGACCCUCUCUUCCCACUGGUUUUCCUCUCUCUUCCACCUCUUCCUUUCCCUUCGCUUCUCUCCUUCCACUCCCAUCCCUCCCUCCUCCCUCCAUCUUCCUCCGUCCUUUUAUAUUGGCAAUAGGCAUACCUGUCAACUUUUCCCUUUUCUUGCGAGGAAUUCCUAUUCGGAAUAAGUUGAUAGCUAUGACGAUAGGUCUGAGAGGUAACUUCUUCUGAAAGUUAGACUGCGACUCUCCGCGACGGUAGGACUUGUCAAUUUAGAAGAAACUAUGGGAUGGGGUUGGGUGGGGGGUGGCAAGAGAGAGUAGAGAACAGAUCCGUAAAGAAGCAUGGGAAGAAUUAGUCUCCCUGGGGGGGAAAGAAAUCAGUCUGGAGGGAAAGUUUAAUUAAAAAGAGCAGAGUUUUUAAUUACCAGGGAAAUGUACUUGAAUGGUUGAUUUGCAUAAUCCCAGCGGCAGUGGGGGAACAGGCAGGGAGAAGAUAAGGUUUUUCGUUUCCUUUACAAUCGUUCUCUUGUUCUUUGCUAUCUCGCUGAAAGGAACUUUGAUCCCCAGCCCUUCCCUCCAACAGCAGCCCUGACUGCCAUCUUGCAUCUUGCAGUCAGGACUCCUGUAUGGAGGGCUGCGGCCGUCUGUUGCUUUGAGGGGGGGAGCUUGGUGGAAACAAAGGGCUUUGCUCCUUUCUCAGAGUCAUCCACUGAAAUGCAAUUUCCCCUCCUGUAAAACACACACGCGCACACAAACACACACUUUCUUCUUGUUGUUAAUGCUGUCAGGAAACGUGAACUUUUCAGGCGCUCAGCUAAUGUGUUGCAAUUGCCUUGGGGAAGGGUCUACAUUGCCUACACCCACUGCUGGCCCUCAAAAGGGUGGGUCGCCCCCAAUGCUGUCACCCCAGCUGUGGAAGAAUAGAGGGAGCUGGUAGGAAGACAUUUCACAACUGAGUAAUGUGUGUGUGUGUGUGUGUGUGUGUGUGUGUGUGUGUUUGAGAGAGAGAAAAAAACCUUGGCCACAUUCACAGCAUACUUUUAAAGCACCACAAUACAGUCAUACCUCGAGUUUUACAGACACUUCAGGUUGCGUGAUUUUGGGUUGUGUACUGCACCAAACUUGGAAGUACCAGUACCAGAAUGGGUUACUUCCGGGUUUCGGCGCUCGUGCAUGCACAGAAGUGCUAAAUCGUGCUUUGUGCAUGCGCAGAAGUGCCAAAUUGUGAGCCGCACGUGCGCAGACACGACACUGCGGGUUGCGGAUGCUACGGGUUGCGAACGUGCUUCCCAUACGGAUCACGUUCGCAACCCGAGCGUCCACUGUAUCCCUUUAAACAGUUGCAGCUUCCCCCAAUUAAUUCUGGGAACUGUAGUUUAUUCAGGAUACUGACACUUGUUAAGGUAAAGGUAAAGGGACCUGUGACCGUUAGGUCCAGUCGUGGCCGACUCUGGGGUUGCAGCGCUCAUCUCGCUUUACUGGCCGAGGGAUCCGGCGUACAGCUUCUGGGUCAUGUGGCCAGCAUGACUAAGCCGCUUCUGGUGAACCAGAGCAGUGCACGGAAAAGCCGUGUAACUUCCCGCUGGAGUGGUACCUAUUUAUCUACUUGCACUUUGACGUGCUUUCGAACUGCUAGGUUGGCAGGAGCAGGGACCGAGCAACGGGAGCUCACCCCAUCAUGGGGAUUUGAACCGCCGACCUUCCGAUCCGAUCGGCAAGCCCAAGCCCAAGGUUUAGACCACAGUGCCACCCGCAUCCCUGACACUUGUUAAGAGGCCCCUGCAAUUUCCAGAGUGGUUUAAUGGUCAAUCUCUCUUCACUGAAUCCUAGAAUCGUAGACUUGGAAAGGGAUGCCAAGGGGAUGCCAAGUCCAUCCUUGGCAUGAAAGAAUCACAAUGAAAGAAUCCCCAACAGAUGACCAUCUGACCUCCAAAGAAGGAGAGCCCACCACCUUCUGAGGGAGCCCAUUCCACAUGCGACAUCAUGUGCGCACAAUGUCCCCCUCCCUCCAAUGUUGUGCGCAAUUCAGUGCCUCUGAUCUGGAACACUCUGGAGCCGGGGAGCGGGCAGCUAAAUCCGAAAAAAUAAAAAAUAAACCUCCAAUGGUGAAUUUGAAGAAGAAAAUAUUGCUAUCUCUACUUGGGCUGAGGGGCUAGGAAAUUUACCAGAAAUAGAUCCUUCUGAUAACAAGGAGAGAAGAGAAACAGCCCGCGGGGGAAGAGAGGUUUAGCUAUAGAGGAGCUACCUCAAUGGAGAAAACACAUAAGACCCUGCUCCUAUUCAGCUGUUUGUUUGCUUCCUUGUUCAGUGUUUUGAGUCUGAAAGGGGUUGCAGGUUGUAUUGAAAGCCCCUCCUCACCCAGAUCACUUCCCCUGAUGCUUUGAAGUGCUAUUCACCGCCUCCGGUCCAUUACUUAGCCAUGAUUAAGUGCGCCAUAAUGGUUCCCCUCCCCCUCUUCCAUUCUUCCAAAUCAAUUUUCUAGGCUUUGUCAAUGGCACUUUUUUUUUCCCCUCCCAGGGUGGGGGGAAAGAUGAGAGAUAAAAGCCAAUCAGGCUUUAGAUCCAGGGAAUGUUUUCACAGACAGAGAGAAGAGGACGGCGAUUAUUGCGGCAAAUUAUAGACUAUCUUCCCUGGGUAUCUGUGUAGCCGGCUGAGCUGAAAACGGAAAAUCCGAGGCCCACAAAGCAAAUAUAUAACAAUAGUGCUUCAAAAGCUAUACAGUCAUACCUCAUGUUAUGUUUGCUUCAGGUUGAGCAUUUUCAGGUUGCGUCCUGCGGCGACCCGGAAGUAAUGGAAUGGGUUACUUCCGGUUUUCGCUGCUCGCGCGUGCAUAGGCACGCAAAAUGAUGUCACGAGCAUGCGCAGAAGCAGCAAACCAUGGCCCGCGCAGACACGGGUGGCAUUCUGUUCAGGUAGCGAACUGGCCUCUGGAAUGGAUCCCAUUCACAACCAGAGGUACCACUGUACAGUGGUCCCUCAGGUUAAGUACUUAAUUCAUUCCGGAGGUCUGUUCUUAACCUGAAACUGUUCUUAACCUGAAGCACCACUUUAGCUAAUGGGGCCUCCCGCUGCCGCUGCGCCUCCAGAGCACGAUUUCUGUUCUCAUCCUGAAGCAAAGUUCUUAACCUGAAGCAUUAUUUCUGGGUUAGCGGAGUCUGUUACCUGAAGCGUAUGUAACCUGAAGCGUAUGUAACCUGAGGUACCACUGUACAUAUAAAUACAUAUAUACAGUGGUGCCUCGCAAGACGAAAUUAAUCCGUUCCAUGAGUCUCUUCGUCUUGCGGUUUUUUCGUCUUGCGAAGCACGGCUAUUAGCGGCUUAGCGGCUUAGCGGCUAUUAACGGCUUAGCGGCUUUAAGAAAAAGGAAACAAACUCACAAGAACUUGCAAGACGUUUCGUCUUGCGAAGCAAGCCCAUAGGGAAAUUCGUCUUGCGGAACGACUCAAAAAACGCAAAACCCUUUCGUCUAGCGAGUUUUUCGUCUUGCGAGGCAUUCGUCUUGCGGGGCACCACUGUAUGUGAAUAAAGUUCUUGAAGGGGAUCUGAGAGGUAAGAGUAGAUUUACCAAGAGGUCUAGUCGUACAUGAGCUAGAGUAAUAUCUAGAUUAGCAGCUAAAUCUGGAAAGUAUGUAUUUAGCAAAUUGUGUCCAUUGCUUUGUCACCAGGGCCGUCUUACCCAUAGGUGCUAGGGGUGCGGGGCACCCGGGUGCUAGGCUCUCAGGGGCACCAGACCGAGAGUCCGGGGCCUGAGAGUUGAGUCUGGGGAAGAGCCCACCCAUCGGUCAGCGUGCCGCGGCAGGCUCUUCUGCUGUGGGAGGCUCUGUGCCUCGGGUUUGGGGCCAGCGAGAUACUGAGGCAGCCGGCUGACUCUGCCCUCCCACGUGCCUGGGACUGGGCAACCGGGUGGAUCUUUGCACCCCGGCAUUGCAUAUGCUUAAGACAGCCCUCACCCAGACCUCCAUCCCAGGGGCACUGGAUGUCAUGUGCUCUGGACACUGUUAGGUUACCUAUCGCCUCUGACCAUUGGUCAUGCUGGCUGAGGCUGAUGGGAGCUGGGAGUCCAAAAAGAUCGUGAGGGUCACACGAUGGCUACCCUGGCUUUAUUCCAAUUGUGGAGACAAAGGGUUGUUAUCUCAUGGUGACUACCCUGAGGCAACAACCUCCAGAUCCCAGUUGGCUAAAUAUGCUCCUAUUUUGGCACUGCUAAGGCACUAAGAUGCACAAGGCAAUGUUUUUAAAAUACUGCUGCUAUUUAAACAAUCAUUCUCCCAGCUAAAGAGGCAAAUGAAUUUAGGAGGAGGAAAAAUUAGGGGGGGGGGUAAGGGAGCAGUCAAAAUAUGCCUCCAAGCUAUUAAUUAGUUAAAACAUUGACAAAAGCAAAUAUUUUUUUUUAUUUUUUAUUUUAAUACUGGCAGCUUCCUAACCACAAAAUUCAAAGAAUAAUCUCCAUCUGCCCAGACUGGAGAAGUUUGCAAGAAGCAGGUUCAUUCUGAACCACAUGUCCACCUGCUCAAGUCUUUUAAUCUCUUUGCAAAUUUAUUUGCGGCAGCCAAGUUUUAUGUUGUAGAGCAAUCAGUUGUUAAAAAGUAUCCUAAACUUCUGCCUGAUCGCUUUCCGUAAGCAAAUCAGCCUGAUUUCUCCCGAUGUGGGAUGCUGUCUUGACUGGCAAAUGAAGGAAACAGAUAGUAUUCAACACACACAUUUAAAGAACUAAUCAGAUCUUACUGCAAGGCACUGCAAUUUCGCUGAUGGGAAACUUUUAUGACACCUUCCGAAGCCCCAAGAUACACAUGGGGGGGGGGACUAGCAGAGAGAAGGUUCAGAUGGAGAGGGUGUGAUUUGCAUACAAAAGGUUCAAUCCUGAGCAUCACCAGGUCGGACUGGGAAAGACUCUUCGCCAGAAACCCCGCAGCACCACUGGCAGUCAGUGUAGACAAGUGAUGGCCAAACUUGGCCCUCCAGCUGCUUGGGGACUACAGUUCCCAUCAUCCCUGACCACUGGUCCUGCUAGCUAGCGAUGAUGGGAAUUGUAGUCCCAAAACAGCUGGAGGGCCAAGUUUGGCCAUCACUGGUGUAGACCAAACUUCCAAGCAUCUGGUCACUUCCAGAUGUUUUUGACUCCAACUCCUAACAUCCUUCGCCAGCAACUGAGAGGCUUAUAUGCUCUGGUCUCCUAAAACACAUCCAGGCCACAGCUUCUGGCAGUGAAGAAGUCUUAAAGGGUAAAGGUACUCCUGACCAUUAGAUCCAGUCGUGGCCGACCCUGGGGUUGUGGUGCUCAUCUCGCUUUAUUGGCCGAGGGAGCCAGCGUACAGCUUCCGGGUCAUGUGGCCAGCAUGACUAAGCUGCUUCUGGUGAACCAGAGCAGCGCACGGAAAUGCCGUUUACCUUCCCGCCUGGGUGGUACCUAUUUAUCUACUUGCACUUUGACGUGCUUUCGAACUGCUAGGUUGGCAGGAGCAGGGACCGAGCAACGGGAGCUCACCCCAUCACAGGGAUUCGAACCGCUGACUUUCUGAUCGACAAGCCCUAGGCUCUGUGGUUUAACCCACAGUGCCACCCACGUCCCUAGGAGUCUUACUCACAGGUAAAGGAAUCCUGCUAGGUUGGCAGGAGCAGGGACCGAGCAACGGGAGCUCACCCCAUCGAGGGAAUUCGAACCGCCGACCUUCUGAUCGGCAAGCCCUAUGCUCUGUGGUUUAACCCACAGUGCCACCCACGUCCCUAGGAGUCUUACUCACAAGUAAGGAGUCUUACUCACAAGUAAAAAGGAGAUUGCGACUAAACGUCAGGAAGAACUCUCUGAGGGUAAGAGCUGUUCGACAGUGGAACGGAAUCCAUCAAAUAGAGGUUGGGUGACUAUCUGUCAGGAAUCCUUCAGCUGUGAUUCCUGCAUUGCAGGCGGGUCAGACUAAAUGCCCCUUGAGGGCCCUUUCUAACUAUAAUUCUAUGAUUCUAGGUUGCGUGACAAGCAGCGCAUUUCUGCCUGUAUUCCAAAGUCUUGGUUGUGACUCAAUGACACGUGCCAGACAAAGUCUUUCAAGGGAGGGGGGAAACGUUCAAUAUUUAUGUGAUUGCAUGGCAUCAUGAAUGUUUUAUCUUUCGGGAAGUUGAAAGGUUCCACUCCCUAAAGACAAAAGUAGAAGAGCAAAUGGACCCUGAUCCCUGCUGUGUUCAGGCAGCAGCUUAUAGGAUAAAGAGCGUCUGGGUCUCAGGCUGCCAAAACAAUGGCGAAACUCCAUACUUUUCAGAUAUGAAUUUUUAUUAGUUUUCACAUUUUUAUACAUUUUAAAGGUAAAGGUAAAGGUACCCCUGCCCAUACGGGCCAGUCUUGCCAGACUCUAGGGUUGUGCGCUCAUCUCACUCUAUAGGCCAGCGCUGUCCGCAGACACUUCCGGGUCACGUGGCCAGCAUGACGAAGCUUCAUCUGGCGAGCCAGCGCAGCACACGGAACGCCGUUUGCCUUCCUGCUGGUAAGCGGUCCCUAUUUAUCUACUUGCACUUUAAGGGUGCUUUCGAACUGCUAGGUUGGCAGGCGCUGGGACCGAACGAUGGGAGCGCACCCCGCCGCGGGGAUUCGAACCGCCGACCAUGCGAUCGGCAAGUCCUAGGCGCUGAGGUUUUACCCACAGCGCCACCCGCGUCCCUUUUAUACAUUUUAGCUCUAACCAAAUUCAUAUAGCUCUAACCAAUUCAUAUAUCAUUCAUAUAUUCAUAUAUCAAAUUACAAGGUUCUCUGAACCUUCAGACUUCCUGCCCUCCCUCCCCUGGGUUCAUCUAUCAUAAAAUAUAUUUUUUUUGCAUCUUAUGCUUUUUCCAGUUGUUAUAUAUCCAUAUAUCCCUAAAUAAUAAUAAUAAUAAUAAUAAUAAUAAUAAUAAUAAUAAUAAUAAUUUUAUAUAUACCCCACCCUCUCCUGCCAGAGCCAGACUCAGGGCAGCUAACACCAGUAAAAAUUACAGUAAAAACAUAAUAGGGGGAAAAACCCAAUUUAAAAUACAGGUUAAAAUACAAUUCAAAAUGCAGCCUCAUUUUAAUAGUAGCCCAUAGAUCAAAACCAUAAGGGGCGGGAAACAUAAGGGUCAGACUGAGUCCAAACCAAAGGCCAGGCAGAACAGCUCUGUCUUGCAGGCCCUGCGGAAAGAUGUCAAGUCCCGCAGGGCCCUAGUCUUUCGUGACAGAGUGUUCCACCACGUCGGGGCCAGUACUGAAAAGGCCCUGGCCCUAGUUGAGACCAAUCUAACCACCUUGCGACCUGGGGCCUCCAAAAUGUUGUCAUAAUCAAUUUCACAUUACAAAUGUCAUUACAAUGCUACCAAUGAUUUUAACUGUUUACAAUGGUUUUUAAAUAAACUACAAAUUUACUCCAGUCUCUUAACAGAUACUUGAUCUUCUUGCUUUCUGAUCUUCCCCACCAGUUUUGGCCAAUUCUGCAUUUUCCAUCAAUUUCAUCUGCCAGAAACUCCAUACUUCCCUUGCUGCCAUUGUCUUCCUCACAGUGCUGUUGGCAACAGGUAGCCAUUCCAAGGCUGGUGUUUGCCAGAUCAAGGUAACAAACUCAGGAUCCGUUUACUCACGAGAUCACCUUACCCCAUAUGGGCCCACUUGGCCACUUUGAUCCGCAGAAUUGGCACCAUUACAGGUGCCACAUAAUAUCCAUUCUGCAUUGGUAAGAAAUCAAUCUUUUAGUGUGACAGCACCUUUGGAACUCCCUACCUAUUGACAUCGGGACGUGGGUGGCGCUGUGGGUAAAACCUCAGCGCCUAGGACUUGCCAAUCGCAUGGUCGGCGGUUCGAAUCCCCUCGGCAGGGUGAGCUCCCGUCGUUCGGUCCCAGCUCCUGCCCACCUAGCAGUUCAAAGCACUCUUAAAGUGCAAGUAGAUAAAUAAAUACCGCUUUAUAGCGGGAAGGUAAACGGCGUUCCGUGUGCUGCUCUGGUGCCGGUUCGCCAGAGCAGCUUCGUCACGCUGGCCACGUGACCCGGAAGUGUCUGCGGACAGCGCUGGCUCCCGGCCUCUAGAGUGAGAUGAGCGCACAACCCUAGAGUGUGUCAAGACUGGCCCGUACGGGCAGGGGUACCUUUACCUUUACCUAUUGAUAUCUGGUAGACACCAUUCCUGUACUCUUUUCAGCUCCUGCUAAAAAGUAUUCUUGUUUAGACAAACCUAUCCAGAUGUUUAGAAGAUUGAUCUGAAUUUUAAUCUGUUUUUGGUCCAUGGUUAGUUAAACUUUUCAAAGGUCUUACAAUAUUGUUGUUAAUUUUUCUGAGUGAUAGUUUUGUUGUUUCAUCUUCUUAUUUUGUAAUUCAAGCGGUGUAUAAAGGGACCCCUGACCAUUAGGUGCAGUCGUGACCAACUCUGGGGUUGCGGCGCUCAUCUCACUUUAUUGGCCGAGGGAGGCGGCGUACAGCUUCCGGGUCAUGUGGCCAGCAAGCCGCUUCUGGCAAACCAGAGCAGUGCACGGAAAUGCCGUUUACCUUCCCGCCAGAGACGUACCUACUUAUCUACUUGCACUUUUAUGUGCUUUCGAACUGCUAGGUUGGCAGGAGCAGGGACCGAGCAACGGGAGCUCACCCCGUUGCGGGGAUUCGAACCGCCGACCCUCUGAUCGGCAAGUGCUAGGCUCUGUGGUUUAACCCACAGCGCCACCCGCGUCCCGUCAAGUGGUGUAUACAUUCUAUGAAAUAAAACGACAAGGACAGUACAGCAUUCCUCUGCAAAAUCCUGGGCCUGUUUGCAAGUUAAUGAAGCUAUUAUUUCAGAAGAACCUCAGCAGCUCAAUAAGGGAUGAGGAAUCUCUGGACCAUGAGUUUUAUCAGGCAAGCCUGGUUACUUUGGCAAAGCUGGGCCAAUGUACCCUACCUCCAAUGUUCACAAAUAUUGAGCUCUGCAUUGCAGUGCUAUGAAAAGAGGAGGAGCGGUGAAGCCUAUUGUAAGCAAUUAAUAAUACGCAGCAGAGAUUCAGAUCCACCAGGCUAAAACAGCACACCUGCUUUUGCAGAUAAGUACCCCAAGCAGCAUUUGUUAGGCUGUGUGAACAAGUGUGGGAAUGUUUUGGUUUCACCCAUGUCUGUGUCCCAUCACCUCUGGCAAUCCAGACUGAAUUGUGUACAGUGGUACCUCGGGUUACAGACUCUUCAGGUUACAGACUCCACUAACACAGAAAUAGUACCUCGGGUUAAGAACUUUGCUUCAGGAUGAGAACAGAAAUCGUGCUCCGGGGGGGCAGUGGCAGCAGGAGGCCCCAUUAGCUAAAGUGGUACCUCAGGUUAAGACCGGUUUCAGGUUAAGAACGGACCUCCAGAACGAAUUAAGUUCUUAACCCGAGGUACCACUGUAUUGUCUUAGGAAGCUCACACAAGUUUGCAACUACAGUGGUACCUCAGGUUACAUAUGCUUCAGGUUAUAGACGCUUCAGGUUACAGGCGCUUCAGGUUACAGACUCCACUAACCCAGAAAUAUUACCUCGGGUUAAGAACUUUGCUUCAGGAUGAGAACAGAAAUCGUGCGGUGGCAGCAGAAGGCCCCAUUAGCUAAAGUGGUGCCUCAGGUUAAGAACAGUUUAGGUUAAGAACAGACCUCCAGAACCAAUUACCGUAAGUUCUUAACCCGAGGUACCACUGUAGUUAUCUGCUGUGCGUGAGAAGGGGAAUGUAAACUCUGCUAAGUAAAGGAACCUGCAAGUGCAGGUUAGGAAGGAUAUUAAUAAACAAUAUAUCCUCUCCUGCCACCCUGAACAUUCCCACACUUAGGACCAAAAGCCUGAGUUAGGUUAAGGCAGGUUUCUUUAUUCUGAGGAAAAUGCUGUGAAAGAAAUCCUCUCUCUCUCUCUCUCUCUCCCUGAAGUUGUAGUAUAUAUGUGUGUGUGUGUGUGUGUGUUUCUUUUUUAAAAAGCCAAUAUGUCCUGUGGCAUUAACAAGCUUUAGGAGGAAGGAGUGCACGGGGGGGGGGGGGGACACAGGUUUGUGUUUUGCUUGCAGCAGAUGUACAAUUUGUCCCCUUGCCACUAGAAACAACCCCUUGAUGCGUCAAAAGGAAUGAGCCUCUCGCGAGUUCCUGAUUGUUGCAACAUCCAAAGCUCUCCCCAGAGACGCCCCCAUUGUUUGUGUUUUCUAUAAAGUGAAAGACGCCUCUCAGUUGCCCUCCAGCAUCGAGGGUUGCAGUAAAGAAGACAGCAGAUGGAUGGGAAAGGCUCUGGGAUCUGAGCAUCGCCCACGCUUCCCGCUGAAGCCUGCAUCCUGAUGCUCAACUUUUCAACUUCUACCUGCAGGGGGGAUUGUAAGAGUUCGCUCCUCCUUUUGUCUGCCCAGUAUCUGCCUCCCUGCAGAUAGAGCUGCCAGCUAAAAAUAAACUCAGGCAAUCUGUAUUCCGGUAGCCCUGCUGCGUGGCUCCAGGUCUCCUUUUGCAUAAGCCUUUCCUUUUCCCCCCUCCACUCUAUGGACACGGGACACGGGUGGCACUGUGGGUUAAACCACAGAGCCUAGGACUUGCUGAUCAGAAGGUCGGCGGUUCGAAUCCCCGCGAUGGAGUGAGCUCCCAUUGUUCGGUCCCUGCUCCUGCCAACCUAGCAGUUCGAAAGCACAUAAAAGUGCAAGUAGAUAAAUAGGUACCACUCCAGCGGGAAGGUAAACGGCGUUUCCGUGCGCUGCUCUGGUUCGCCAGAAGUGGCUUAGUCCUGUUGGCCACAUGACCCGGAAGCUGUACACCGGCUCCCUCGGCCAAUAAAGCGAGAUGAGCACUGCAACCCCAGAGUCGGUCACGACUGGACCUAAUGGUCAGGGGUCCCUUUACCUUUACCUUCCUUCUCCCCCCUCCACUCUAGCACACUCUCUGUCUUACGUGGGAGCAGCAUAUCGAAGAAGCAGAUAUGUAAAGAACAUAAGAAGUGUCUGGAGGCUGGAUCAGGCCAAUGGCCCAUCUACUCCAGCGUCCUGUUCUCACAGCAGCCCAACCAGAUGCCUCUCCUGGGAAGCCCGCAAGCAAAACCUGAGCCCAAAAGCUGGGUGUACUCUGUGUAACAUGCACACACAAGCUGCUGAAUCCUGAAACAAUGAAAAUGAAUAAUAAUAAUAAUAAUAAUAAUAAUAAUAAUUUAUUAUUUAUACCCCGCCCAUCUGGCUGGGUUUCCCCAGCCACUCUGGGCGGCUUCCAACAGAAUAUUAAAAUACAAUAGUCUAUUAAACAUUAAAAGCUUCCCUAAACAGGGCUGCCUUCAGAUGUCUUCUAAAAGUCUGGUAGUUGUUGUUCUCUUUGACAUCUGGUGGGAGGGUGUUCCACAGGGAGGGCGCCAUUACCGAGAAGGCCCUCUGCCUGCUUCCCUGUAACUUGGCUUCUUGCAGCGAGGGAACCGCCAGAAGGCCCUCGGUGCUGGACCUCGGUGUCCGGGUAGAAUGAUGGGGGUGGAGACGCUCCUUCAGGUACAGUGGUGCCCCGCAAGACGAACGCCUCGCAAGACGAAAAACUCGCAAGACGAAAGAUUUUUUCAUUUUCGAGUUGCUUCGCAAGACGAAUUUCCCUAUGGGCUCGCUUCGCAAGACGAAAACGUCUUGCAAGUUUGUUUCCUUUUUCGUAAAACCGUUAAUACCCAGGGUGCAUUGCUUGAAGAGGUGCAGUUGCGACUUGACUUCGAGGAGCAACACAUUGCACGCGGUGUGGUGGCCUUUUUGAGCUUUUUAAAGAGUUUGCUGAAUUUUUGAAGCUUUUCCAAAACUUCUUUUGCAGCUGUUUGGUAAGUUAAACUUUUAAUACUUUUUUGGGGGGGUUUGGAUUUUGGGUUGGGGUGUUUAGAAUUCAAGGACUUGGUGAUGGGGAGAGGUUUGCAAGAAUCUGGGAGCUUGUGUGGUUUUUUCUGCAUUUUUAUGGUUUUCUGUGACCAUUGGGCCAUGUUGUUUUUUUGAAAAAAAAUUCUGGGUUUUGAAUUUCUGUGUGCUGGGUGGCUGGGGGAACAGUUGAGGAGGGGUUUGCAACAGUUGGGGAGGGGCUGGGGGAACAGUUGAGGUUUUUGAAGACUUUGGUGAUUUUUAAAGCUUUCCCAAAACUUCUUUUGCAGCCAUUUGAGGAUUUUGAAGACUUUGGUGAUUUGCAGCCAUUUCGUAAGUUAAACUUUUAAAACUUUUUGGGGGGUUUUUGGAUUUUGGGUUGGGUGUUUGGAAUUCAAGGACUUGGUUCUGGGUUUGAAUUGCUGGGGUUUUUUUCCUUUUUCUGAGUUUACGAAGGUAAGAGCUGUGCUGCCAUGGGACCCAAGAAGACUGCUGCUGCUGCGGAGUCCAGCGAGAGGAAGAAGGAGAAGGUGACGCUGGAAAUGAAGAAGGAGAUCAUCCGGAAGCACGAUGGUGGAAUGCGUGCGAUGGACCUCGCCAGGGAGUACGGCAGGAACCCAUCGACCAUCGGGACCAUCAUGAAGAUGAGGGAGAAGAUCCUUGCGACUGAUGCAGCCAAGGGAGUCAUUUGUGGACAAAAUGGACUGUUUCAAGAGGUGGCAGAGAGAUAUUUCUAGAUUUGUCUGGCAGGGCAAGAAGCCCAGAAUAAAAUUUAAAAUACUAACAGAUAUAAAGGAGAGAGGUGGAUUUGCCCUGCCAGACCUUAAACUUUAUUAUGAAUCAGGAGCUUUUUGCUGGUUGAAAGAAUGGCUGCUUCUUGAAAACACUGACAUUUUGGAUUUAGAAGGUUUUAACAAUGUAUUUGGAUGGCAUGCAUACUUGUGGUAUGAUAAGGUCAAAGCACAUAAAGCAUUUAAAAAUCAUAUUGUCAGGAAAGCUUUAUUUAAUGUUUGGAUAAGAUAUAAGGAUUUAUUGGAAAAUAAAACCCCAAGGUGGCUGUCACCGAUGGAAGCGAAAGCUUUGAAAAAGCUCAAUAUGGAGGUCAAAUGGUCGAAAUAUUGGGAAAUUUUAGAACAAGAUGGUGAUAGAUUGAAACUGCAGAGUUUUGAAAAACUAAAAAAUAAAGUGCGAGACUGGCUUCAUUAUUAUCAGAUAAUGGAGGCAUACAUUUUGGACAAAAAAAUUGGCUUCCAGGUGGAAAAAUCAAAAUUAGAAACAGAACUAUUAGAACCCAAAAUUAAGAAUUUGUCAAGAAUGUAUAACUUGCUGCUGAAAUGGAAUACUCAGGAUGAAACGGUGAAAUCUGCUAUGAUUAAAUGGGCACAAGAUGUUGGACAUAAUAUUAUGUUUGCUGACUGGGAACAGUUAUGGACCACAGGUAUGAAGUUCACGGCAUGUAAUGCCCUAAGAGAGAAUAUUAUGAAAAUGAUAUACAGGUGGUACAUGACCCCAGUCAAGCUUGCAAAAAUCUACCAUUUGCCCGAUAAUAAAUGUUGGAAAUGUAAAGAAACUGAAGGUACAUUUUUCCACCUUUGGUGGACGUGCCCAAAGAUUAAGGCUUUCUGGGAGAUGAUAUAUAAUGAAUUAAAAAGGUAUUUAAAUAUACCUUCUUGAAGAAACCAGAGGCCUUUCUCCUGGGCAUAGUCGGCCAAUCGGUGUUAAAAAGGACAGAACUUUCUUUAUGUAUGCUACAACAGCAGCAAGAAUACUCAUCGCAAAGUAUUGGAAGACACAAGAGCUACCCACACUGGAGGAAUGGCAGAUGAAAAUGAUGGACUACAUGGAAUUGGCGGAAAUGACUGGCAGAAUCCGUGACCAGGGAGAAGAGUUGGUGGAAGAAGAUUGGAAGAAAUUUAAAGAUUAUUUACAGAAACAUUGCAAAAUUAAUGAAUGUUAGAGUGAUGUUGGAUUGAAGUUAAGUGGCUUCUAGCUGUACAGGUUUUAAAGCUAUAAAUAUAUCAAGAUUAAGGAUUAGGAUCAAAAAGGUUAAGAGAAAUGGAAAAAUUGGUUCUAAAUAGGUAAAAAUCUAAUGUCAUAAUAUAUUAAGAUUUAGGAUUGGAAUUAAAAAGGAGGGAAAGAAAUUGCUGGGCUUACAAACUGAAUUGGAAUACAAAAGAGGGAGGUAUGAGGAAGUCCGGGAAACAAGUAAAUGUAAAAGAAGUUAUGAAAAGACGGAACUAUUUUUAACUGUUUUUUUCUUUUUUCUUUUUUCUUUUUUUUUCUUUUUUCUAUUUUGUAUUUUGUAUUUUGUAUGGUG